rnacentral:lncRNA from 1 species
CUUUCUCAACGCCAAUAAAAUAAAAUGCUAGUGGCAAAAACACUUGAAGAACUAUAUAGUUUUCCUUGGUUACUAUACAACAACCAGACAAACGAACGUAUCGCAGGAGAGAAAAAUCGUACGGAAAUAUCCCAUUCCUAAAUCCAUCCCCAGGGGAUAACUCACUCCCUUCAAUCUUUGCAUAUUACUCAGGGGAGUAGAUUCGUUUUUCUUUUAUUUUUUAUUUCUAUUUUGGGCUCUUUUGGGUUCACCAAGAACGGCUGCCCGUAUCGUUCUUAGCCGAUGGCGGAAGUCACCGACCUACGCCUCUCCGACCAACAAAAUCUAUCCGCCCCUGCCACCACUAUCGGCGACAGCGCCGUCGCCUUUGCGGAGGACGAGGAUGAGGAGCCACAACCCGAUGUUUACGCCUUAAAUUUCCAUUCCCUCUCUCCUCCUAAUCCUUCCUUCUUGAUUGAUGACAACCUCAAUUUCACCGCCAUUUCAGAAUCCGAAUCCGGCUCUCAGCAUUCCGAAUCUGUUCACUCCGACCAGAAUUUCCUCUACUACAGCCCAGAAGACGACGACGACGACGAUCAAAUGAAUUUCGUUACGGAUUUAUUCGCGACCCGCCAUGGUAUCCCCGACCAUGGACUGUGUAAUUCUGAAUCCGGGUGUACUUGUCUGGACGAAGAACCCGAAUUAGUUUUAGGUGCACAGGCCGAAUGCAAUGGGGUUGAUGCUCUUCCGUCAAUGGUCGGCGGUCUUCGAAUUGUGAACAUGGAAUCGGAGUCCGACUCGGAAGCUGCGGAGAUCCAUUCUAGGGUUGAUAGAGCAAAUGAUCAUGAUGGGUUGAAUCCAAAUUAUGAUGACUUGGACGAGUUUUGGGAUUGCCCGCAAUUUGAUAGUCAACGGGCGAGGGCUUUUUUUAACGAAGAAUUCGAAUGGGAGGAAGUGAAUGUUAGGGAAAAUCUGAGUUCUUUGAUUGAUCGAAUAGAGGAAAUUUCAGUUUCCUCUGACACUGAAAAUUCGACUUUUGAUACUGGUGGUGGAGAACAUGAUGAAGAAAAUGCAAGAAACGUGGAAUGGCAGGUCCUAUUAGCAGUUAACAAUCUGGAAAUAGCAGUUGGUUUUGAUGAAUAUAUCGUCCUGUUUGGGGAACAUGUUGAUGCAGAGAGUACUGUUAAGGGUGGUCCGCCAGCUGCCAAAUCCGUGGUUGAAAAUUUGCCUUCAGUAGUUUUGACGACGGAGGAUUUAAUGGCAAAUGAUGUGGUUUGUGCAGUUUGCAAAGAUGAGAUUUCUCUGGGGGUGGAGGUGACUAGGCUACCCUGUAGUCACCAUUAUCAUCAGGACUGCAUUAUGCCCUGGCUAAGCAUUCGUAAUACAUGUCCUCUUUGUCGCUUUGAGUUACCUACAGAUGAUGUGGAUUAUGAGAGAAGAAAGAAUAGAAAUGGCGCUGGCACUAGCCUGAUUGGUGAUUUGCAAUUUAGUAAUUAUCAACUUUUACCCUGAGAGUGUCCGUAGAUUGUCAAUUGUGGAGGAUAUCUUUAGGCAGAUGAUAUUUUAGGUCUUGGUGAAGAUACCGACGUUUUCUUCUUGUGCAUUUUCGAAUGUUGUAAUGGUAAAGUCACAAGCUUUACAGUUAGUGGAGUGUUACAUUGGGAAAUUUUGUGCUUUUUGCCAUUGAAUAAAUCAUGUCUUGUUGCGAUGUAAGUAUGAUAGAGAGUUACAUGUAGUGUAAAACCACUGUUUAUAUGAAUGAACCGUUUUAACUUUAUGGACCAUGGUUACGUUCUUUCUUCUUCCUUUGGCAUUUGAUUUCUCCGCUAGUGAAGCUGCAUGAGCUUCUGCACUUGGUGUUUUGCUGGUCCGGAUAUGGAUUGUGUUUUUAACGAAUUGGAUUUAUUUUCGACGUGUUUGUUGCAUCUUUGUUCUUAUAAUGAUUGCUAGGCUGUAAAAGUAGAGUUUUGGGGUUAUCAUCAGUUCAUUUCUCCUCCCAGGCUCAAUUUGAGAGGUAAAGUUUGUUGGCAGCUAGAUCUUUUGCAUGAGCGGUCAAGCUUUUAGCCUUUUGCACGAAUUGAUCGGGAGUUCUGUAAUCUACUCAGAUACAUUUUUUUGUUAAUUUGAACUGAAGAUUAUGAAGGUAAAGUAGUGCUGGUGCUUAAGUUCCUUUAAGUAAUAGUUCAAUACAGUUUAAAUACAUGAUUUGCUAUAACUGCAUGUGGCGCUGGCUCUUAAGCAUUUCAACAUACUUGAAGAACUGAGGGUCAACAUAUGGCCACCCAUUACAGGUGGGAAAUUUGAUCUGUCUUUUGGUACUUGAUGAAUUGACCAAGGUUAUGGACAUUAUGUGUAAUCUUAAGCUGAAGCUCUUUAUCCCACCAACUGCAUUCGAGUCUUUUUGACAUUUUAUUCAGUUCUCAUGCUGUUUAGCCAGCAGGAUACUUUGAAAUCUGCUAAGCUAGUUACUGAAAGUUGGCCAUCUACCACAGCCCUUUGCAUGCAGAUGGAUGAACCACCUUUUAGUAGCCUAUUCAUUUCCAUCUUUGUUUACAAUCUGUUGUUGACAAGCUCUGAUCUGAAUCCUUAUAACAUGAAUGUCUUCGUGUCUCUAUUUGGCAUCUGAAAUGUACCAAAAGCUCUUACGCUGUUUACAAUCUCUUGUGGUUUGUGGUAAAUGGCUGCUUUGUGGAUGCUUCUGAUUCUAGUUGUAUAUUUAAUUUAAAUCUGCUCCAAGGGUUGGGACAAUUUUUAUGAUAAAAAUGAAGAUACAGAUUUCUUCCCACACACUUUAGAAUGAAUGUGGAAUUAAACGAUGGUGCAAGGAAAAUAUUAUUGUGGCCAUCCUGGAACUUUUUAACUGUCUUUUUUUGUUUUUGUUGGCUCCGUCUUACAAAAUCAAGCUAGCUUUAUCCUGGUUAUAAAAGAUUCUUUGGGAGUUGGACGACAGAUACCAGGCAUUUGUAGCCAAAACGGGGGGAAGGAAAAAGACACAGGUUGCCUGAGAAAAAUGGAAUCCCAUGCAAAUGAAAACGAUGGGAUGGCUCCGGAUCCUCUGUCUACUUUGUCCGCCUAAAUCAGUACGACGUAGUGUUUGUCAAAAACUAUCUCGUGCAGCUCCUUGAAGACAAAACUUUAUCACCCUCAUCAUUCAUCGAGCAAAAUCCAGUCCUGCUUUUUUCAUUCAACAAUACAGCUACAAGAUUUAAUAAAAUUGUGUCUUCCAACCAUCCAACUACAAGAUCUAGUAAGCUUGUAUGAUUAAUCCUCUGAGUAUUAGAAGAACUCCUACACGACGACACCGCUGAAUCACCUGAGAUGACACCGCUGGGAUUUUGAUUGGUCUCUUAUAUGUCCACAUUUUGUGGUGCUCGACUUCUUUGUUUAUGGGAGAUACAGAUUAGUCCGGAGGAUGAUUCCCUCUGAACCGCCAUGAAUUGCAGUCGGUCGAACGUCAAAGCCACUUCAUUAAACUGGUAGUGUCACUUGGGCUCCUUUUGGGUAAACACUGCCAUUAAGGAGGAUGUAUGGUACUCACUAUUAAUAGUAGCAGCAUAUCAAGAAAGCGUUGAUGAAAAAAUAGAGGAGGGUGGGGGGUAUUAAACGCCCUUAUUUUUUUUUUUUAACUGAAACGGUAGUUUUUAUUGAUUGAAAACUAAACUGUACAAUUCUUGAGCAAAGGCUCAUCUUGAGCUUUACAAACAUGUACUAAGAUACGGAGGAAACCAACAUUCCUCAUCUUGUGUUAAACUAACAGCAUGAUUGCUAAUCAUUCUGCUUCUCUACUUCUUUUAAACGCCAUUACAAGUAGUCAUUUUUUACAAGAUUGGAUUUUCAAGGUCCGGCUGUUUGGCCUUCUGGUGCCCAAAGAGCCAAUCAAACAGAGCACUCAAAAUUGUCUAGAAGCCAGCUUGUGGCUUUGGCUAUUGCUAGUGGCUUUGAUUCAAAAAAAAAAAACAGGAUGUGUAUCAGAAGAGUGAAGACUAGGGAGGAGAGGGUAUUAAUGGCUUCAUUGAUUGUGGGAUUGAAUCAUUUAAAGCUAAUUGAAAUCAAAAGCUAAAGCUGAAUGAGGAUAGGGCUUCCGAAUAACUUUUUUUUAAAAAAAAAAUUGGGCUAUCCGCAAUUCUCAAGAGAGGAGGGAGCGAAAUCUCAAGAUCUCAUCUUGAUUGUAUAGGAGAAAUAAGUGAAAAUAUUAUUGAAAAUUCAGGCAUGAAAUUGCUUAACCUCAAGGCUUGUUAUGGUUGAUUAGAACUCGAGUAGCAUUAAGAUUGACUUUCUUCGCAACUGUAAUGCACCCGUGGACGGAAGUAAAAGUAAACUAACGGGGAAACACAUCGAGUUUUGCCCAUGAAGUUGCCUUGAUGGUAGGAAACCGUUUUUGAUAACAAGGAUUGAUGUUGCCAUGAUUCAGAAGCUAAAACUUUUCUGGUCUCACUCACUCACGGUUUUGGCUCGGGGUUGGGGGGUUUUUUGGGUUUGUCAAAGCCUCACUCAAGAUUGGGUCCUGAUCAAACCCCAAUAUACAUUCUCAUCAUUCACAAUUCGACGAGGAUUAUAUUCUUAUCAUGUCACAAAAUUAAGCAGGGUAGCAACAUGAUACCAAGCAAUGUCUAUACAUCAGGGUGCAUAUCAGCCCUCUAAUGUGAGGCUACUGCAAUUUAGCUUCAGGCAGAUUCUGAAACUGAUCCAGAGAGAACGGUGGAAUUUCUCUUCCAUCACAGUUUCCGAAAGUUCAAUAACCACGCAGCUGCUUUGAUGAUAUCCCUUAAAUUCUACCCACCGGAGUAACUUGCUGAAGGAAAACGCUAGUUUCAGAAAGUUGUCAUUCUAUAUAUACUAGAUUACGAAGUUUCAUAAUGGUUAUUUAGUUACGCCAGGCUCAUUAGCGUAUCAAGUAUUCAACUUUUCUUACUGGUACAUAUAUUGUUAUUUUUGUACGAGAGAGAGAGAGAGAGAGAUGAAUGGCCCAAUAAUUGAAUUGACGUGGAGAAGAAAGAAGUGUUUAACAGUAGUCCAUGAAGGCAGCAGCAACAACAACACAACUACAGGAUGGCUAAGAAGUCUUGUUUGGUCUAAAGAUUGUGCGAAAACGAAGUCCAUUUCCGAGCACCUUUAUCAUCCACAUUGUUAGUGGAUCACAACUUUUACAGCAAGUACGCAAGCAUAUGGACAUUACAUGCAAAUCAAUUCAUUUUACUACUAAAAUUGCAGCACCAAACCAACCGUUGCAUUACUUUGUAGAUUGCACGAAAGAUGGAAAUUGUAUUUAAAACAUACCACAAACAAAGGUGCCAUGAUAGAACUUGGAAAACAGUUAUAUAUAUAUAUAUAUAUAUAUACACACGGAAAAAGUCCAAAACAAAAGCAAGAAGGCCGGGAUGAAGUAGAAAAGAUGCUACUGCAGAUGAUGAUUUUAUCCUGUCUCGACCAAUCUCUCGAGAUUACUUGAUGUCACUCAAAACAGGAAGACACAAUGAGGUAACACAAGGACAGAUUCAAGAUUAAAGAGGCUAUAUAAACGUCUAAAACACUAUAGCAAACUUUACUACUGUCUUCUUCUCCAGAAUAUAAAACAAUGGCAAUGGCACUUUCCGCCCUCCAAAAUUGCAGCAAGGAAUCUUAGGCUAGGAAGAUUUUCAGAUGUCAAGUUGGUUGCAUCUUUGUUUGAUGCUUAAUAACGAGGAUCAGCAACCAGCCGAACAAUGCGGUAUGGUAACAAUAAUAAUAUGUUACUCUCGAGUCUCGAACAAAGAUGAUUCAGUUUUUUGUAAUGCUUGUCAUAUCCCGAUUCUUGAAAUUCUAUUCAUGUCAGAUAAAAGUAGGAGCUAAGCAAUUUGCAGCUAAAAGGUGCUACUCUCAUCUAAAUUAGCACAACAGAUAAGAAAAAUGGCGUUUUCAACUUGAAAUGCUCUCCAAACUGGACUAGCAUAUGAUUUGGCCUGAGGAAGAUAAUACAUCACAGUUCCAACCAGCAAGGACGGUAACCUGAUUGGGCUGAACACAUGAUUGUCGCACGGAACCGUGUAAAAUGACAACCACGAGAGAAAAAAUGCGAAGGUUGGUUGAAUGGGGUGCACAAAUGGGUCGCACAUGGUACAAGUGACAGUACUGCAAACUGGGGAGUCCCAUCACCUCACUUCACAGCACCUGAAUAAAAGGCUCGUCAGUAACAGUACCAAAACUCUGCGAUGUGGGUGUCAAACUGUAUGGGGGCGCCUCCUGAGUUCCCACGCCUGGGCCUGGCCAAUGGGUGAAGGUGAUUGACAGCCAAUUGAAAGUAUGGUUGGGAAGGGGGGCGGUGCUAAAGCUCUAACGAAUCGAGUUAUCUGCGAGCGUGUUUGUACAUGACCCGUUUAAAUUUAAAAAAACAUUCGAUCAUUUAAUGAAUUAACCGAGUUUGAGCGCAAUAUUAGACGCGUUUAAUAAUCGAGCAGUGGAGUACGAAUCUAAUAGUUCGUAAAUACAUUUAUAAUUAUAAAUAUAAAUAUCAAUACGUCUAAUAUUAUUAGACAUAUAUUAUAUUUUACUGAAAAAGCAAUUAUACAUAAAUUAGAAUUAUUUAUUUUUAAAAAAAAUCAAUAAAUACAACUAAACUUAUUCUAAAUAAUGCAUUAUUUAUUAAAAAUAUAAUUAAAUAAUCUUCAAAAUCAAAUAUUUACGAAUCAAAUUCAAAUAAUAUUUAUAAUUCAUUAAUAUUUGAGUCGUGCUCGAAUCUUGCUCUAGAUUGAGGCGCACACGACGUCCACACGCCCUCGCCUUGAAUUGGCUCAUUGAAAGCUCUAGGUUGCAGCGCACACGACGUCCACACGCCCUUGUUAGCAGGGACCCAUGGGUUUUUUUUUUUUUUUUUUUUUUGGUCAAAAAGAAAAAAAAAAUCCCAUUUUCAAGGGCAGUUGUCUCUAUUUGGUCUAUUAUUUGCCCUUGAAAUUUCGUUGUCUCGCAGAUGCUUCUCCUCUCUCUCAUGAUUACGCUUUUGGAUUUUUAUCCGUGAAUUUUGCAUUCUGAAGGGGGCAAUGUAUUAUGCGAAAAGGAGUAAUUGGAUACGGUGUAUGAUCAUGUAGAGGGAGGGAUAAGAUAUGGUUACUGAAUUGAGGGCCUCGAAGUGAAGUGGUGGUAAUAUGUUACUAUAUAAAAUCAUUUCUUUCCCAUCUCAGCGGGGCGGGGCGGGGCGGGGUGCUUGCGCUAGCUUUUCUUGUCUCGUCUGCCUCACCUUUUUUACCCCCCUUUUGAUUUAAUGGGGAGAAAUAAAAUUAGAAAAGCCGAAAAGAAUUGUAAAGGGCAGAAAACGUCAAACCCACAAUUGAAAGUGGACGAUAGAUAUUUUGCGUCGCAUUCUUUCGGUAACCUCAUCCCAGAUGCAAAAGUUUGCUAGAUAGUUCUUGGAUUGUGCAGCAACUGGCUCUUUGUUUUUUUGCUACUACAAGACGUGAUACCAUGACAAUAAAGUAGACAAGUGGAUCACUCCCAAGCAUUUGAGAGGCUCUUGUUGAAAGGGCAAAAAACGAAAGAAAUCCUCCAAAGGCCCUGUUGCUCGGCUUCCUAAUUUUCUUGCGCCAGGAAAAUCGUUAUAUUAUUUGGUCUCUGCACAAAAGUUAUUUGAAAGAUUUUGCACUCCAAAAGGUUCUGGCAGUGUAAAUGAAGCGAUUGACGGGACGAAAAAACCGAGGAUCGAGCAAAAUUCAAUAAUGCGUCUAGAUUAUGAGAAAAGGAGAAAUGCGCUUGAUUGCCAUCCCCUAUUAAGGUCAGCAGAAAAGGUGAAGAUGAUAGAAAGAAAGGAUCUCAGGCAGAUAAUAAAAUGAAGGCAAGGAUAAAGAUGAAGGCAUUAGAGUUUGAAUGAUCCAGGUCACUUUUGCUUGCAAGAUUGGAAUUGUUGGAAAACUAACAUCAGCAACUUUAAAGCAACACACACACACACACACACUCGCAUAUUAAAACUUGAGAGACAGAGCAACUGUUCCAGCAAUCAUGGAUUGUCUUUGGAAAAGAAAAAGGAGAAAGAAAAAAGAACCUAGAAAGGAAAUACUACUGAAAAGUUGGAACACGGAAACAACAAUGUAAAGACAGCGAUGAAGUAUGAGUCAAUAUCUGUCUCAUGAAUUUUUUGACCGUUCAGCCCACUCAACUUGGCCAACAUACAUGAAGUAGGGAGAGAGCAUUUGCCUCCAUAGGCUUUUGGCUCUGGAUGCAUACAAAGUUCCUUUUAUUAGUGGAAGACUACAUUUCAAAGUACAUUCAUAUCUUUCCCCUUAUCAUCCUCCCACCAACAUUAAUUGUAACGCGAAUUUAUACAUACCAUAGAACUUUAUAACUUGUGUGGCCAACAUUCAGUAUCAACUUAUCUAAAUCAACAAAAACCCAAGGAACAGAUGAUUAUAUAUAUAUGUAUACAUAUAAAGAAACAACAAGGAGGAGGAGAAGAGCGAGUUUUGAGUCCCAAAUAUGAUAUGGUGCAAUGCAGGAUAUUCUUUCUUAUGUUUUUAUUUUCUGUUUGGUAAAGCUAUGGGAUCAACCACCAUAAUACCCCUAUAAUCUUUUAAGCUUUCUUCCCCACUGCAAAAGCUUAGAAGAUUUGGAUUCCCCAGUUAGUACAUGUCCAAAAACUUUUUGACUGCCACGGCACACCUCAGGACUUGAUAAACUUUUACUCUUUACUUUCUGAAUUCCCCUGUAACAUAUUUCAGCAGACAAAACCAGCAAUGCAGGACAUUCUUAGUUAUGCUUUUAUUUUCUUUUUGGGAAAGCAAUGGGAUCAUCAGCCACAACACCCCUAUAAUCUUUAAACCUUUCUUUCCUACUGCAAAAGCUUAGAAGAUUUGGAUUCCCCAGUUAGUACAUGUCCAAAAACUUUUUUGACUGGCAAACCUCAGGACUUUAAAAACUUUUACUAUUUACUUUCUCCCGUAACAUAUUUCAGGAGACAAAGCCAUUCUAGUUUAGCCUUCCACUGCAUUCCAGUUAUGAAGUACCAGUUAUAUGAGAAAUCGCCAAUCCACUAAGUUAGUUUCCUCAGACAAAACUACUGUAAUAGUUCUUACUUGAGUUUUGUCCUUUUAAUUCCAUUGCAACUUACGCAUAUCUAUAUAUUAUUUGACAAGACAGCGUACUGGACAAUUCAACUUUGAUCAAGCCUUUACAAGUAAUUAAACUAAAAUGCCAGAGAAUUUUGUGGAGAAACAAGCAACUGCCUGUAUGAAUUUUUUUUUUUUUUCCCCACAUUAGAUCAGAUUAAAAGAAUCCCUCCAACUAGAAUCCUUCCAUCAAAGUGCCAUUAUAACUAUGGUCCGUGAUUUGAGAUAAUCAAAUAUAACUUUGAAAUAAAAGAAACAAAUUGUGUUAUUUUUUCCAAAAUGGAUCACAUGAAAGUGGUUGUUGAGUCAUUAAUUUUUUAUUUGUUCCACUUAUAGAAAGGACUUGUCCCACUUAUAGAAAGGACUUUCCUUCCCUUACCUCUUUCCUCCCAUGGCCUCGUUCUCCUAUAUCUUUACGUCACUGCACCUUGUUGGGCAAGAACCACUGCAGAGUAAUAAAGAUGUCAAGUUAGCUUGCUUUGCAACAACUAGCAAUUUUAAAUUGACUUCUUCAUCCGUAUUAUUCAAUUGCUUUUUUCUCUUCCAAAAACUUUCUAGCUUUUGAAUAAUGAUACUCUCCAUGAUAUUCUGUGUGCACGCAUGUGUAUGUGAUGUGAGCAUUGUUUGAUGUCACCAAUUAUCCACAACACUUAAAUUUCCAAUAUCUUUUGGACCUGCAUACAUCAGAUCAGAUACAAUUCGUAAGUCCCAAAUGACCAUAUUGGACAGAAGUAAAGGUUAGAUGUAUACAUAUAUCCGUAAGUUUUGGUAUCAAUGCAGAAAUGUAAUACAACACAACUUAUGCACGCAUUCAGCAUCAUAUUCGAGUAGUCUUGUCUUUAAGAAACUUCACUGUUUAAGAAAUGGGACCGCAACAUUUUUACCAUCCUAUAAAACCCCUCUCCUGGAUGUUUGCCUUCGCCUUCCAACACCAAUAUUAUAUGAUCAGGUCCAGAACCUUGUUACAUACAUAAAUCAAUUAACUAGCAGAAACCAUGCAGUCAGGUGAUGCAACAGAGUUGUAUUAUCUGCUUACUUCAAAUCCAACUCAAUACCCUUCUCAUUUUGGCUUGAACAACAAUAACAUGCCUUCUUUCAACCUUAGCAGAAUUUCAAACCCUUUGUGCCACCUUCAGAUCAAUCCCCAGAUUCAAGACUUCAACCCGCAGAUGGCAUCUUUCAGCUGCAAUUCAACUUCAGAUGAAGCAGAUGAUCAACAACUAAGUAUAAUAAAUGAAAGAAAGCAGAGAAGGAUGAUUUCCAAUAGAGAAUCUGCACGAAGAUCACGUAUGCGCAAGCAAAAGCAUCUUGAUGAGCUAUGGUCCCAGGUUGUUUGGCUCCGUAAUGAGAAUCAUCAGCUGAUAGAUAAACUGAACCAUGCUUCAGAAUGUCAUGAUCGUGUACUUCAAGAGAACACUCAACUCAACUUAUUAAUGCUAAGUAAAAGAGCAAAAUUAAAUAGAAAACAAAAAAGAAGGAUUUAAAAAAUCAAGAAUGGUACCAUCCAUGAAAUCACUAAAUAAAAACAAAGUAAUACUGGCCUUUUAACUUGGAAUUUUUUUUUAAAUAUUCAUUUUCGAUAAAAAUAAUGAUAAUAACAACACCAAUUCUACCAACAAAAUUUUAAAAAAUAAUAUUAUAGUUUAAGAGAAAAAUAUAGAACAUUCGACCCUAAAAUACUACUUAAUUUGUAUAUAUAUCUGGCCCAAAUUUGACCCUGAUUAGAUUUGAAUAAGAGUGUAAAACCCAAACACUAAGGAUAACUUUUGGUAUUAUUAAUUAUUUUAUGUAUUCUUAUUGUUGUCUUCAUAUGUAAAUAUGUAUUUUCUAUAUUAAAUAUAUAUACAUAUAUAUAUUGAUUGUAGUACUUGAGGAUAUUAUAGAUAUUACCAGUUUUCAUUUUCAUAUUUAGAUACUAAUAAUUGCAACCAUUGCAAUCAAUUUUCAAUUUUAUAUUUUUCAUUAUGAUAGAUAAAGUUAAAUAUAUUGGGUCGAAGGGAUAUGAAUUUAGAGAUUGGGUAUGGGGGAGGAGGAAGGGAAAAAAAUGGUGAGGAGUUGAAAAGUGGCGAGAAAGGUUGAAGAAAAAAUGUGGGUUACAAGGAUGGGCGGAAAAAGGAGAGAAGAAAAAGGGGGAUUGUCGGAAUAUAACAGAUAUGACAAAAAAAAAAAAUAGAGAGAGUGGUACCAUGAUAGAAAAUAUGAAAGUCAAGGAGGCAUCUCAUGACUAGCCAGCGGAUAAGAGAAGAGGGAAAUGAUGAUGAUUUUUAAUAAUUUUGAGAACUCUAAAAACAUAUAUUACAGAGAUUUCUUUUAAUAUAUGUUAAAGUUUAUGAAAAAUGCUAAUCUAAAUGCAGUCAACAAUCUUAGCGGUACAAGAUAGAAGAAAUAUUUUUUUCUAAAAUGGAAGAAAAUAAAUUGGUUAUAAUUUUUUAUAUUAUAAGUUUUGAUAUAUGGGUAUAACAUAAGAUGUUUUGUCAGGUACUGAUACAUUGAUUUUUUUUUAAGAAAACUCUUUUCACCUUACCACCCAACCUAACCCUCUCCUUAAAUGUGUUAACAAUUCAUCUAUCAUGUAAAUCAUUAUAAAUUAAAAUUUUUUCAAUAUGUCAAGCAUACACUUCUUUAAAAUUUUUAGUCUAUAUAUAUAUAUAUUAUUCUGUACCACAAUAUAUAAAGAUAUACAAUAUUAUUUUGAUUUGAAAUAUAAUCCCGUGCAUAGCACGGGUCAAAAUACUAGUGCUAAAGAACCGAAAGAAGGGUCAUCGCGUCGGUUUCUAGGAAACUUCGAGGAACGGGCGAAGAACAACGGACGGAAAAGAAGUCAAGGCCUGAAGGGUCAUCUGCAUCUUCUUUGCUAGGACUAGGAAACUUGGAAGAAAUUGCCAAUCUGUCUUUGUAGGAAGUAUAAAAAUUUCGCACUGGCCUAGCCCAGAAAAACAAUUGACACACACAAAAAACACAAACACAAACUGGGGAGAGAGAUUUGGAAGUAGAUAGCAUUUCCAAGAUGGUGGAGAUGGAAGAAGUAAAAUCACCAAAAUCAUCAACCACAGACCAAUUACCAUUCAGCAGCCCCACCAGGUGGGGAUGCGAGGAAUAUAUUCUGUUCAUUUCUUACGUCAUAGGCAUGUCGGUAAGGUAUCUGCCGGCGGAGGACAUCGACGGUUACCCCAUUCCGACCAUCAUCUUCAAAGGUCAACCGAAGACAUACCAGACUUUUUUGUUGGGAAUCGUGGGAGCCUUCAGUUUCUCAAUUGCUACCAUCUACAUACGCCAGCCCACUCCAAAGCUGGCUGCCUAUGUCAGACGAUUUGCUAUUUUCUCCAUGGCCUCUUCGCUAUCGCUUGCAUUGUGGGCUGCCGGUCCGGCCCAUUGGAUACUACCCCUUUAUAAUUGACAACUUCCUCCGUACCAUCAUCAGCACCACCUCUUUUUUUUUUUUUUUUUUUACCCUUUUUCCAGUCUUUCUUUUGUGCUUUGAAGUCUGCCGAGAUAACGAAAAUAUGUGUUUGGAUGGGGGUUUAUUUGAAAUAAUUAUUAUAAUAUAUUUUGUAAUGGGAUAUAUGUGAGAUAAAAAAUAAUUAAAAAAAUAAAGAAAUGUAUUGAAAUUUGUAUUGCAAAUUAUUUUUUCUCAAAUCAUUCCAAUCCAAACACUUAUAACUAGCCAAACACAAACCUUGUAUUUAGAGAAAUCGUGCAAUCGGCUUUCAAAUUAUUACUUUUGUAUGUUUUCCACCCUUCAUUUAUUUUAUAUAAUAAUUAAGCCUCUAUGUAAGAAUUUGGCCCUUCUUGUACCCAAAAAAAAAAAAAAAAAAACAAACCGUUUGACCUCACUACACCACAGCCUUACACUAGCUUUAUUAUUCCUAGAAUUGAAAAAAAUAUAUAUAUAUAUAUAAAGGAUAAGAAAUCCAGUCAAGAGCUUACCGAUGCCUAAUGAACUGAGAAACCAUAAUUUGUUCUGUAUGGAUACAAAUGAGCUAUAUAUAGAUAUAUAUGGUCGUCUAUUAGUAGCAUUUUAGUUAUUUGUUGAUAGACAUGACUAUAUGAGAAACUUGAAUGAAGUACAUGAACAAGUGCUGCCAAUUAGGGAUGGCAAUUGGGUCCAAAUUGACUUAACGGGUUGGGUUGAGAUCCGGGUAUAAUAGAAAAUCCGCUGACCUGCAUCAAACCCGUCAACUCGAAACAGGUCAGAAUACCAGACUUGAACCCGAAAAUUUCGGUUGACGGGUUGGCAGGUUGAUCCGAAAUGACCCGAAAUGACCCGAAAUUGAAUUUUAAUUUAUUAAUUUACCAUUGUAAUUUCUAAUAAAACCAAUUUUGCUCAAGACUAAUUACAUAAUCAAGUAAUAAAAUUUUAAAUAAAUAAUCCCAAAUCAAAUCUAAAAUAAAUAAAAACACCAUAAAAGUGUUUUAUCCCAAACCAAGUAUAAAAUAAAUUAAAACAAUACAAAAGUAAAAAAUAAUAUAAUACAUUAUUUAUCCAAAUAUAAUAAUUUCAACUUCACACAAGUAAAUUAAAUUCAUUUAGGAUUAAGUGAUUAAUGCCUUUGGAAAAAAGAAUAACUUAGUUUAGUUAGAUAAAAUAAAUUUUAUAUUUAUUAUAUUAUUUUUAAUUCAUAAACGGGUUAUCGGGUCACCCAAUGGCUGACUCGAAUUCGACCCGUUUUCUUUUCGGGUUCAUCGGGUUCGACCUGAACCCACAAAACCUCAAGCCAAAUCCAUUAAUUUCGUGUUAGAUUCGUGUCGUAUUUUCAGGUCAUAUAAAAAAUUGCCACCCCUACUACCAAUGGACUAAAAAAAAAGUUAUCAGUAUUAUAUUUAGACUUCGUUUGACAAAUGAGUUUUGUGAGUGUUUGUUUAAAAUAUUACUAUAUCUUACUAUAAAAAUUGUAGAAAAAAUUUUUGAAGUGUAUAAAUUUUUCAAUAUUUUAAAAUGUAUAAUUUAAAAUUUUAAAAUUACUGUAAUUAAAAUUAUUAAAAAUUUGCAACAGUCAAACGUGCUUGGCAAACCGGCCCUAGUCACCUAUCUUCUUGUUGUUUGUUUCAAAUCCCAUCGGGCCCAAGGUACACUACGCUUUCUCAACGCCAAUAAAAUAAAAUGCUAGUGGCAAAAACACUUGAAGAACUAUAUAGUUUUCCUUGGUUACUAUACAACAACCAGACAAACGAACGUAUCGCAGGAGAGAAAAAUCGUACGGAAAUAUCCCAUUCCUAAAUCCAUCCCCAGGGAUAACUCACUCCCUUCAAUCUUUGCAUAUUACUCAGGGGAGUAGAUUCGUUUUUCUUUUAUUUUUUUUUCUAUUUUGGGCUCUUUUGGGUUCACCAAGAACGGCUGCCCGUAUCGUUCUUAGCCGAUGGCGGAAGUCACCGACCUACGCCUCUCCGACCAACAAAAUCUAUCCGCCCCUGCCACCACUAUCGGCGACAGCGCCGUCGCCUUUGCGGAGGACGAGGAUGAGGAGCCACAACCCGAUGUUUACGCCUUAAAUUUCCAUUCCCUCUCUCCUCCUAAUCCUUCCUUCUUGAUUGAUGACAACCUCAAUUUCACCGCCAUUUCAGAAUCCGAAUCCGGCUCUCAGCAUUCCGAAUCUGUUCACUCCGACCAGAAUUUCCUCUACUACAGCCCAGAAGACGACGACGACGACGAUCAAAUGAAUUUCGUUACGGAUUUAUUCGCGACCCGCCAUGGUAUCCCCGACCAUGGACUGUGUAAUUCUGAAUCCGGGUGUACUUGUCUGGACGAAGAACCCGAAUUAGUUUUAGGUGCACAGGCCGAAUGCAAUGGGGUUGAUGCUCUUCCGUCAAUGGUCGGCGGUCUUCGAAUUGUGAACAUGGAAUCGGAGUCCGACUCGGAAGCUGCGGAGAUCCAUUCUAGGGUUGAUAGAGCAAAUGAUCAUGAUGGGUUGAAUCCAAAUUAUGAUGACUUGGACGAGUUUUGGGAUUGCCCGCAAUUUGAUAGUCAACGGGCGAGGGCUUUUUUUAACGAAGAAUUCGAAUGGGAGGAAGUGAAUGUUAGGGAAAAUCUGAGUUCUUUGAUUGAUCGAAUAGAGGAAAUUUCAGUUUCCUCUGACACUGAAAAUUCGACUUUUGAUACUGGUGGUGGAGAACAUGAUGAAGAAAAUGCAAGAAACGUGGAAUGGCAGGUCCUAUUAGCAGUUAACAAUCUGGAAAUAGCAGUUGGUUUUGAUGAAUAUAUCGUCCUGUUUGGGGAACAUGUUGAUGCAGAGAGUACUGUUAAGGGUGGUCCGCCAGCUGCCAAAUCCGUGGUUGAAAAUUUGCCUUCAGUAGUUUUGACGACGGAGGAUUUAAUGGCAAAUGAUGUGGUUUGUGCAGUUUGCAAAGAUGAGAUUUCUCUGGGGGUGGAGGUGACUAGGCUACCCUGUAGUCACCAUUAUCAUCAGGACUGCAUUAUGCCCUGGCUAAGCAUUCGUAAUACAUGUCCUCUUUGUCGCUUUGAGUUACCUACAGAUGAUGUGGAUUAUGAGAGAAGAAAGAAUAGAAAUGGCGCUGGCACUAGCCUGAUUGGUGAUUUGCAAUUUAGUAAUUAUCAACUUUUACCCUGAGAGUGUCCGUAGAUUGUCAAUUGUGGAGGAUAUCUUUAGGCAGAUGAUAUUUUAGGUCUUGGUGAAGAUACCGACGUUUUCUUCUUGUGCAUUUUCGAAUGUUGUAAUGGUAAAGUCACAAGCUUUACAGUUAGUGGAGUGUUACAUUGGGAAAUUUUGUGCUUUUUGCCAUUGAAUAAAUCAUGUCUUGUUGCGAUGUAAGUAUGAUAGAGAGUUACAUGUAGUGUAAAACCACUGUUUAUAUGAAUGAACCGUUUUAACUUUAUGGACCAUGGUUACGUUCUUUCUUCUUCCUUUGGCAUUUGAUUUCUCCGCUAGUGAAGCUGCAUGAGCUUCUGCACUUGGUGUUUUGCUGGUCCGGAUAUGGAUUGUGUUUUUAACGAAUUGGAUUUAUUUUCGACGUGUUUGUUGCAUCUUUGUUCUUAUAAUGAUGCUAGGCUGUAAAAGUAGAGUUUUGGGGUUAUCAUCAGUUCAUUUCUCCUCCCAGGCUCAAUUUGAGAGGUAAAGUUUGUUGGCAGCUAGAUCUUUUGCAUGAGCGGUCAAGCUUUUAGCCUUUUGCACGAAUUGAUCGGGAGUUCUGUAAUCUACUCAGAUACAUUUUUUUGUUAAUUUGAACUGAAGAUUAUGAAGGUAAAGUAGUGCUGGUGCUUAAGUUCCUUUAAGUAAUAGUUCAAUACAGUUUAAAUACAUGAUUUGCUAUAACUGCAUGUGGCGCUGGCUCUUAAGCAUUUCAACAUACUUGAAGAACUGAGGGUCAACAUAUGGCCACCCAUUACAGGUGGGAAAUUUGAUCUGUCUUUUGGUACUUGAUGAAUUGACCAAGGUUAUGGACAUUAUGUGUAAUCUUAAGCUGAAGCUCUUUAUCCCACCAACUGCAUUCGAGUCUUUUUGACAUUUUAUUCAGUUCUCAUGCUGUUUAGCCAGCAGGAUACUUUGAAAUCUGCUAAGCUAGUUACUGAAAGUUGGCCAUCUACCACAGCCCUUUGCAUGCAGAUGGAUGAACCACCUUUUAGUAGCCUAUUCAUUUCCAUCUUUGUUUACAAUCUGUUGUUGACAAGCUCUGAUCUGAAUCCUUAUAACAUGAAUGUCUUCGUGUCUCUAUUUGGCAUCUGAAAUGUACCAAAAGCUCUUACGCUGUUUACAAUCUCUUGUGGUUUGUGGUAAAUGGCUGCUUUGUGGAUGCUUCUGAUUCUAGUUGUAUAUUUAAUUUAAAUCUGCUCCAAGGGUUGGGACAAUUUUUAUGAUAAAAAUGAAGAUACAGAUUUCUUCCCACACACUUUAGAAUGAAUGUGGAAUUAAACGAUGGUGCAAGGAAAAUAUUAUUGUGGCCAUCCUGGAACUUUUUAACUGUCUUUUUUUGUUUUUGUUGGCUCCGUCUUACAAAAUCAAGCUAGCUUUAUCCUGGUUAUAAAAGAUUCUUUGGGAGUUGGACGACAGAUACCAGGCAUUUGUAGCCAAAACGGGGGAAGGAAAAAGACACAGGUUGCCUGAGAAAAAUGGAAUCCCAUGCAAAUGAAAACGAUGGAUGGCUCCGGAUCCUCUGUCUACUUUGUCCGCCUAAAUCAGUACGACGUAGUGUUUGUCAAAAACUAUCUCGUGCAGCUCCUUGAAGACAAAACUUUAUCACCCUCAUCAUUCAUCGAGCAAAAUCCAGUCCUGCUUUUUUCAUUCAACAAUACAGCUACAAGAUUUAAUAAAAUUGUGUCUUCCAACCAUCCAACUACAAGAUCUAGUAAGCUUGUAUGAUUAAUCCUCUGAGUAUUAGAAGAACUCCUACACGACGACACCGCUGAAUCACCUGAGAUGACACCGCUGGGAUUUUGAUUGGUCUCUUAUAUGUCCACAUUUUGUGGUGCUCGACUUCUUUGUUUAUGGGAGAUACAGAUUAGUCCGGAGGAUGAUUCCCUCUGAACCGCCAUGAAUUGCAGUCGGUCGAACGUCAAAGCCACUUCAUUAAACUGGUAGUGUCACUUGGGCUCCUUUUGGGUAAACACUGCCAUUAAGGAGGAUGUAUGGUACUCACUAUUAAUAGUAGCAGCAUAUCAAGAAAGCGUUGAUGAAAAAAUAGAGGAGGGUGGGGGUAUUAAACGCCCUUAUUUUUUUUUUUUAACUGAAACGGUAGUUUUUAUUGAUUGAAAACUAAACUGUACAAUUCUUGAGCAAAGGCUCAUCUUGAGCUUUACAAACAUGUACUAAGAUACGGAGGAAACCAACAUUCCUCAUCUUGUGUUAAACUAACAGCAUGAUUGCUAAUCAUUCUGCUUCUCUACUUCUUUUAAACGCCAUUACAAGUAGUCAUUUUUUACAAGAUUGGAUUUUCAAGGUCCGGCUGUUUGGCCUUCUGGUGCCCAAAGAGCCAAUCAAACAGAGCACUCAAAAUUGUCUAGAAGCCAGCUUGUGGCUUUGGCUAUUGCUAGUGGCUUUGAUUCAAAAAAAAAAACAGGAUGUGUAUCAGAAGAGUGAAGACUAGGGAGGAGAGGGUAUUAAUGGCUUCAUUGAUUGUGGGAUUGAAUCAUUUAAAGCUAAUUGAAAUCAAAAGCUAAAGCUGAAUGAGGAUAGGGCUUCCGAAUAACUUUUUUUAAAAAAAAAAUUGGGCUAUCCGCAAUUCUCAAGAGAGGAGGGAGCGAAAUCUCAAGAUCUCAUCUUGAUUGUAUAGGAGAAAUAAGUGAAAAUAUUAUUGAAAAUUCAGGCAUGAAAUUGCUUAACCUCAAGGCUUGUUAUGGUUGAUUAGAACUCGAGUAGCAUUAAGAUUGACUUUCUUCGCAACUGUAAUGCACCCGUGGACGGAAGUAAAAGUAAACUAACGGGGAAACACAUCGAGUUUUGCCCAUGAAGUUGCCUUGAUGGUAGGAAACCGUUUUUGAUAACAAGGAUUGAUGUUGCCAUGAUUCAGAAGCUAAAACUUUUCUGGUCUCACUCACUCACGGUUUUGGCUCGGGGUUGGGGGGUUUUUUGGGUUUGUCAAAGCCUCACUCAAGAUUGGGUCCUGAUCAAACCCCAAUAUACAUUCUCAUCAUUCACAAUUCGACGAGGAUUAUAUUCUUAUCAUGUCACAAAAUUAAGCAGGGUAGCAACAUGAUACCAAGCAAUGUCUAUACAUCAGGGUGCAUAUCAGCCCUCUAAUGUGAGGCUACUGCAAUUUAGCUUCAGGCAGAUUCUGAAACUGAUCCAGAGAGAACGGUGGAAUUUCUCUUCCAUCACAGUUUCCGAAAGUUCAAUAACCACGCAGCUGCUUUGAUGAUAUCCCUUAAAUUCUACCCACCGGAGUAACUUGCUGAAGGAAAACGCUAGUUUCAGAAAGUUGUCAUUCUAUAUAUACUAGAUUACGAAGUUUCAUAAUGGUUAUUUAGUUACGCCAGGCUCAUUAGCGUAUCAAGUAUUCAACUUUUCUUACUGGUACAUAUAUUGUUAUUUUUGUACGAGAGAGAGAGAGAGAGAGAUGAAUGGCCCAAUAAUUGAAUUGACGUGGAGAAGAAAGAAGUGUUUAACAGUAGUCCAUGAAGGCAGCAGCAACAACAACACAACUACAGGAUGGCUAAGAAGUCUUGUUUGGUCUAAAGAUUGUGCGAAAACGAAGUCCAUUUCCGAGCACCUUUAUCAUCCACAUUGUUAGUGGAUCACAACUUUUACAGCAAGUACGCAAGCAUAUGGACAUUACAUGCAAAUCAAUUCAUUUUACUACUAAAAUUGCAGCACCAAACCAACCGUUGCAUUACUUUGUAGAUUGCACGAAAGAUGGAAAUUGUAUUUAAAACAUACCACAAACAAAGGUGCCAUGAUAGAACUUGGAAAACAGUUAUAUAUAUAUAUAUAUAUAUAUAUACACACGGAAAAAGUCCAAAACAAAAGCAAGAAGGCCGGGAUGAAGUAGAAAAGAUGCUACUGCAGAUGAUGAUUUUAUCCUGUCUCGACCAAUCUCUCGAGAUUACUUGAUGUCACUCAAAACAGGAAGACACAAUGAGGUAACACAAGGACAGAUUCAAGAUUAAAGAGGCUAUAUAAACGUCUAAAACACUAUAGCAAACUUUACUACUGUCUUCUUCUCCAGAAUAUAAAACAAUGGCAAUGGCACUUUCCGCCCUCCAAAAUUGCAGCAAGGAAUCUUAGGCUAGGAAGAUUUUCAGAUGUCAAGUUGGUUGCAUCUUUGUUUGAUGCUUAAUAACGAGGAUCAGCAACCAGCCGAACAAUGCGGUAUGGUAACAAUAAUAAUAUGUUACUCUCGAGUCUCGAACAAAGAUGAUUCAGUUUUUUGUAAUGCUUGUCAUAUCCCGAUUCUUGAAAUUCUAUUCAUGUCAGAUAAAAGUAGGAGCUAAGCAAUUUGCAGCUAAAAGGUGCUACUCUCAUCUAAAUUAGCACAACAGAUAAGAAAAAUGGCGUUUUCAACUUGAAAUGCUCUCCAAACUGGACUAGCAUAUGAUUUGGCCUGAGGAAGAUAAUACAUCACAGUUCCAACCAGCAAGGACGGUAACCUGAUUGGGCUGAACACAUGAUUGUCGCACGGAACCGUGUAAAAUGACAACCACGAGAGAAAAAAUGCGAAGGUUGGUUGAAUGGGGUGCACAAAUGGGUCGCACAUGGUACAAGUGACAGUACUGCAAACUGGGGAGUCCCAUCACCUCACUUCACAGCACCUGAAUAAAAGGCUCGUCAGUAACAGUACCAAAACUCUGCGAUGUGGGUGUCAAACUGUAUGGGGGCGCCUCCUGAGUUCCCACGCCUGGGCCUGGCCAAUGGGUGAAGGUGAUUGACAGCCAAUUGAAAGUAUGGUUGGGAAGGGGGGCGGUGCUAAAGCUCUAACGAAUCGAGUUAUCUGCGAGCGUGUUUGUACAUGACCCGUUUAAAUUUAAAAAAACAUUCGAUCAUUUAAUGAAUUAACCGAGUUUGAGCGCAAUAUUAGACGCGUUUAAUAAUCGAGCAGUGGAGUACGAAUCUAAUAGUUCGUAAAUACAUUUAUAAUUAUAAAUAUAAAUAUCAAUACGUCUAAUAUUAUUAGACAUAUAUUAUAUUUUACUGAAAAAGCAAUUAUACAUAAAUUAGAAUUAUUUAUUUUUAAAAAAAAUCAAUAAAUACAACUAAACUUAUUCUAAAUAAUGCAUUAUUUAUUAAAAAUAUAAUUAAAUAAUCUUCAAAAUCAAAUAUUUACGAAUCAAAUUCAAAUAAUAUUUAUAAUUCAUUAAUAUUUGAGUCGUGCUCGAAUCUUGCUCUAGAUUGAGGCGCACACGACGUCCACACGCCCUCGCCUUGAAUUGGCUCAUUGAAAGCUCUAGGUUGCAGCGCACACGACGUCCACACGCCCUUGUUAGCAGGGACCCAUGGGCUUUUUUUUUUUUUUUUUUGGUCAAAAAGAAAAAAAAAAUCCCAUUUUCAAGGGCAGUUGUCUCUAUUUGGUCUAUUAUUUGCCCUUGAAAUUUCGUUGUCUCGCAGAUGCUUCUCCUCUCUCUCAUGAUUACGCUUUUGGAUUUUUAUCCGUGAAUUUUGCAUUCUGAAGGGGCAAUGUAUUAUGCGAAAAGGAGUAAUUGGAUACGGUGUAUGAUCAUGUAGAGGGAGGGAUAAGAUAUGGUUACUGAAUUGAGGGCCUCGAAGUGAAGUGGUGGUAAUAUGUUACUAUAUAAAAUCAUUUCUUUCCCAUCUCAGCGGGGCGGGGCGGGGCGGGGUGCUUGCGCUAGCUUUUCUUGUCUCGUCUGCCUCACCUUUUUUACCCCCCUUUUGAUUUAAUGGGAGAAAUAAAAUUAGAAAAGCCGAAAAGAAUUGUAAAGGGCAGAAAACGUCAAACCCACAAUUGAAAGUGGACGAUAGAUAUUUUGCGUCGCAUUCUUUCGGUAACCUCAUCCCAGAUGCAAAAGUUUGCUAGAUAGUUCUUGGAUUGUGCAGCAACUGGCUCUUUGUUUUUUUGCUACUACAAGACGUGAUACCAUGACAAUAAAGUAGACAAGUGGAUCACUCCCAAGCAUUUGAGAGGCUCUUGUUGAAAGGGCAAAAAACGAAAGAAAUCCUCCAAAGGCCCUGUUGCUCGGCUUCCUAAUUUUCUUGCGCCAGGAAAAUCGUUAUAUUAUUUGGUCUCUGCACAAAAGUUAUUUGAAAGAUUUUGCACUCCAAAAGGUACUGGCAGUGUAAAUGAAGCGAUUGACGGGACGAAAAAACCGAGGAUCGAGCAAAAUUCAAUAAUGCGUCUAGAUUAUGAGAAAAGGAGAAAUGCGCUUGAUUGCCAUCCCUAUUAAGGUCAGCAGAAAAGGUGAAGAUGAUAGAAAGAAAGGAUCUCAGGCAGAUAAUAAAAUGAAGGCAAGGAUAAAGAUGAAGGCAUUAGAGUUUGAAUGAUCCAGGUCACUUUUGCUUGCAAGAUUGGAUUGUUGGAAAACUAACAUCAGCAACUUAAAGCAACACACACACACACACACUCGCAUAUUAAAACUUGAGAGACAGAGCAACUGUUCCAGCAAUCAUGGAUGUCUUUGGAAAAGAAAAAGAGAAAGAAAAAAGAACCUAGAAAGGAAAUACUACUGAAAAGUUGGAACACGGAAAAACAAUUAAAGACAGCGAUGAAGUAUGGUCAAUAUCUGUCUCAUGAUUUUUUGACCGUUCAGCCCACUCAACUUGGCCAACAUACAUGAAGUAGGGAGAGAGCAUUUGCCUCCAUAGGCUUUUGGCUCUGGAUGCAUACAAAGUUCCUUUUAUUAGUGGAAGACUACAUUUCAAAGUACAUUCAUAUCUUUCCCCUUAUCAUCCUCCCACCAACAUUAAUUGUAACGCGAAUUUAUACAUACAUAGAACUUUAUAACUUGUGUGGCCAACAUUCAGUAUCAACUUAUCUAAAUCAACAAAAACCCAAGGAACAGAUUAUAUAUAUAUGUAUACAUAUAAAGAAACAACAAGAGGAGAGAAGAGCGAGUUUUGAGUCCCAAAUAUGAUAUGGUGCAAUGCAGGAUAUUUUUCUUAUGUUUUUAUUUUCUGUUUGGUAAAGCUAUGGGAUCAACCACCAUAAUACCCCUAUAAUCUUUAAGCUUUCUUCCCCACUGCAAAAGCUUAGAAGAUUUGGAUUCCCCAGUUAGUACAUGCCAAAAACUUUUUGACUGCCACGGCACACCUCAGGACUUGAUAAACUUUUACUCUUUACUUUCUGAAUUCCCCUGUAACAUAUUUCAGCAGACAAAACCAGCAAUGCAGACAUUCUUAGUUAUGCUUUUAUUUUCUUUUUGGGAAAGCAAUGGGAUCAUCAGCCACAACACCCGUAUAAUCUUUAAAGCUUUCUUUCCUACUGCAAAAGCUUAGAAGAUUUGGAUUCCCCGUUAGUACAUGUCCAAAAACUUUUUUGACUGGCAAACCUCAGGACUUUAAAAACUUUUACUAUUUACUUCUCCCGUAACAUAUUUCAGGAGACAAAGCCAUUCUAGUUUAGCCUUCCACUGCAUUCCAGUUAUGAAGUACCAGUUAUAUGAGAAAUCGCCAAUCCACUAAGUUAGUUUCCUCAGACAAAACUGUAAUAGUUCUUACUUGAGUUUUGUUCCUUUAAUUCCAUUGCAACUUACGCAUAUCUAUAUAUAUUUGACAAGACAGCGUACUGGACAAUUCAACUUUGAUCAAGCCUUUACAAGUAAUUAAACUAAAAUGCCAGGAAUUUUGUGGAGAAACAAGCAACUGCCUGUAUGAAUUUUUUUUUCCCCACAUUAGAUCAGAUUAAAAGAAUCCUCCAACUAGAAUCCUUCCAUCAAAGUGCCAUUAUAACUAUGGUCUGUGAUUUGAGAUAAUCAAAUAUAACUUUCAAAUAAAAGAAACAAAUUGUAUUAUUUUUUCCAAAAUGGAUCACAUGAAAGUGGUUGUUGAGUCAUUAAUUUUUUAUUUGUUCCACUUAUAGAAAGGACUUGUCCCACUUAUAGAAAGGACUUUCCUUCCCUUACCUCUUUCCUCCUGUGCCUCGUUCUCCUAUUUCUUUACGUCACUGCACCUUGUUGGGCAAGAACCACUGCAGAGUAAUAAACAUGUCAAGUUAGCUUGCUUUGCAACAACUAGCAAUUUUAAAUUGACUUCUUCAUCCGUAUUAUUCAAUUGCUUUUUUCUCUUCCAAAAACUUUCUAGCUUUUGAAUAAUGAUACUCUCCAUGAUAUUCUGUGUGCACGCAUGUGUAUGUGAUGUGAGCAUUGUUUGAUGUCACCAAUUAUCCACAACACUUAAAUUUCCAAUAUCUUUUGGACCUGCAUACAUCAGAUCAGAUACAAUUCGUAAGUCCCAAAUGACCAUAUUGGACAGAAGUAAAGGUUAGAUGUAUACAUAUAUCCGUAAGUUUUGGUAUCAAUGCAGAAAUGUAAUACAACACAACUUAUGCACGCAUUCAGCAUCAUAUUCGAGUAGUCUUGUCUUUAAGAAACUUCACUGUUUAAGAAAUGGGACCGCAACAUUUUUACCAUCCUAUAAAACCCCUCUCCUGGAUGUUUGCCUUCGCCUUCCAACACCAAUAUUAUAUGAUCAGGUCCAGAACCUUGUUACAUACAUAAAUCAAUUAACUAGCAGAAACCAUGCAGUCAGGUGAUGCAACAGAGUUGUAUUAUCUGCUUACUUCAAAUCCAACUCAAUACCCUUCUCAUUUUGGCUUGAACAACAAUAACAUGCCUUCUUUCAACCUUAGCAGAAUUUCAAACCCUUUGUGCCACCUUCAGAUCAAUCCCCAGAUUCAAGACUUCAACCCGCAGAUGGCAUCUUUCAGCUGCAAUUCAACUUCAGAUGAAGCAGAUGAUCAACAACUAAGUAUAAUAAAUGAAAGAAAGCAGAGAAGGAUGAUUUCCAAUAGAGAAUCUGCACGAAGAUCACGUAUGCGCAAGCAAAAGCAUCUUGAUGAGCUAUGGUCCCAGGUUGUUUGGCUCCGUAAUGAGAAUCAUCAGCUGAUAGAUAAACUGAACCAUGCUUCAGAAUGUCAUGAUCGUGUACUUCAAGAGAACACUCAACUCAAAGAAGAAGCUUCAGAACUUCGUCAAAUGCUCACUGAGAUGCAGCUAAACAGCCCUUAUUAUAACUUAAGAGAUCUAGAAGAUGAUCCCUGCAAGGGCUUGUCCCAAGACUGAUUAUAUAGACCCUUCCUCUUCAGGUAUCACUAUUUCUUGUAUGAAGAUGGCGGUCAAGAUUUUGAUUUUUGCUUUGUCUCUUCCGUUCUUCGGUGCAGUCUAUUCAAUAAAAAUCCAACUUCACUUUGAACUGUACGAUGUCUGAAAGUCGUUUUCUGGCAACAGUUUUGAUAUGAAGAUCAUGUUGCCUUAGCUUAUAAUGCCGUAACUUGAUUUAAUAGCUGCUAAUAAACCAUUAUAACUUCAAUUUUUCUAGUCACUAAUAAACUACUGUAUAAGCUCGGUUUCCAAAUUUGAGACUGCAUGGUUAUUCCUUCAAAAAAAAAAAAGACUGCAUGGUUAUUGCAUACCUAUAUAUUGACAGUCCAAAUGAAAACGAUGAUGAAUCCAGACUCGUCUGUCUGGGACGAAAAAUGGCCAAAAUCGUGCGGAAUUGUUUUGAUUAUUCUAGUCAAAACAGUGACGUACAAUGAUGAUAAGAGUGAACCUGCGGGUAAUAGAACAUUAUCAUAACAGCCAAAACAAUGAAAAGAAAAAAGAUAAAUGUCAAUGUGAGAACCACAAGCAAACAGAGACAUAUAAAAUAAACUUAAGGUUGCAAACGAUUACAGAAGACGAUACGGAAGUAACACUUGGUGCAGAAAUUUAUUGGUAGCAGCAAUUUUUACAAACGUGUAAGUGUGCGGCAACAUUUUCAAGUCUUUCUGUUCUCUCCAGAUGCCAGAAUAUGUAAAUUUAGAUGGGCCUGGGAAAGGCCAUAGUUAAACAGCCGUUCUCCUUUUCCUUAAUCAAACAGCACAAUUCGUCCAAAAGGCAUCAACAGUAGCAUCACCGCAACAAAGGCCUAAGAACAUUGUGUUGUUACUACCAGUAUUACAGAAUAAAGAAAUGUCAUCUCUGGGUGAACAUCUUUUUGAACGCUAAAUCCGUGUAAAGUCUAACAAAUCCACAAAUAAAAAGCUGACCUAGUCACAUUAGUCAUUUAAAAUAUCAUCACAUGGAAGACAAACUCAUUCUUCUGUCGUACAAUUGAAAUCUCAGGAUACAAGAAAGGCAGAAACCCUCAACUCCUACUCUCUACUAAACUACUUUCUCUAAGUAUUACGUGAAGAAGGGGUCCGUUCUAUCCCAUCCCUCUUCUCCUUCCCUCUCAAAAAAAUUAUUAGAUUUUGUUAAAAGAAAUAAGAAAAAGUGAUCUUUAAACUGAAAAUUAUGUACCCUAAAUCAAACAGCUCUGGUAUGAAGGCAAUGAAGUACAGAAAUCAAAACGUGGGGCUACUCCAGAAUAGAAAAUUUAGUAUUGGAAAAUGUGGAUGAUGAAAAUCUCAGAGAUGCCAAGGUCUCCAAGCUGUCAAUUUGUCAAAAUAUGCUGCAUCUGAGACAAAUGAUUCUCACCUCAAUGCAAAUAUGCAAGAAAUUGAAAAGAAAAAAUACAACAACAACGACAAAGAAAGCACCGAAGGUCAAAGGUCAAAGUAUCACUGUACUAUCUGCAGGGGGUAUUUACCUUGGUCAUGAAAAUCAUGAGGUUGAGGAUUCCUUUUCCGGAAGUUUUUUUGCUGCUGAGGCAACCGAGUGAUUGGCAUUUGGCAGUGCAGAAUUGUUUAAUUGAGAAAGUACUGGAAAAAUUCGAGGGAGAGGGCUAGGGACUCGGGGUUUAACUCUUUUCCUGAUUUGGAAGCAGAGGUUUCCCGGGUUUGCGUUGGGUUUGAUGAAAACCAACCAUGUUUUGACAUUCGUCAAAUGCAUGUUUUGAAAUACUUUGAGAAAUGUGUGUUUGAAUAGAAUAUUAUUUGAAAUAAUUAAUUUAAACAUUUAAUGAUGUAUGUGAGAUAAAAAAAUAAUUUAAAAUAUAAAAAGAUAAAUUUAUAUUUAUAUUUAUAAUGCGAGCGAAAUAGUACAUGAAAUAAGUCAGCAAUCUAAACACUAUUUGUAAUCCCAUCUUUAUUAAUCAACAAAUGAUGGGAUAACAAAUAAUGGAGUGCAAAUAAUAUUUUUUUAAUACUAUUUUGAUUAAAUACAAAAAAAAUCUCCCGUGAUUUCAUUGAAAUCAACAAGUUGCCCUGUGAUUUUGAAAUAUCUACAUUCCAUCCUUGUGAUUAUGGAACAACUUUAACCCGAUUGUUGUUACUCAUUUUUUCCCUUUCCUUUUCUUUUUGAAUUAAUAUUUCCUGCACUGUCAGUAUUGGAUAAAUGAUAACUAUGAAAAAUUUGAAUUUGAACUCCAAACUUUUGCAUAUGUGUCAUGGAUCUAAUAGUGAAAGUAUAUACAUUGUUAGUGUAUAUAAUAUUUACUCUUUCUUUUAUCCAUUUUUUUUCCUUUUCUAAUUCUCAUUUAUUCUUUCUCUGUCACUACACAAUCACUAUAGCUACACCAUUGUGACAAACCACCUCUCUAUUCUUAUCGCCACCUCUAUUUGCCACCAUUUGCCAUUCCUUCCUAUUUUCUUCCCACUUUCCCGUCUUUCCCUUCUCUCUACCUCCUUUCUCGCCCUUCUCCCUUUAUCCCUCUUUUUCCCAAUGAUCAAAUCUGGUCAUCAGAAGAAGAGGGAUAGACCAAGAGCAAUGAGAAUGUGGGAAAAGGAGAGAGGAAAAGAGGAAAAGCUGAUGAGGAAGGAAGAAAUAAAAGAGAUAAGAGAGUAGAAAUAGGUGGUGACAAAUAGGGGUGGUAAGUGGCCGCUGGUGGCACGUCUACGUAAAUGCACCAUCCUUUCCUUAGGCAAAUUUACAUGGAAUUGAUACCAUUAAGGUCAAUAGAAUUAAGAAAAUUGAGGUUUCCUGUCCCUCGAGAAAUGCUACCUUAAAGGCCUAAGUAGGAGAGAUUCAAGGAGACAACUUUAUGAUGGCGAGAUAACGUGUCACUCCAAUCCAUUUGUAGUCCAAUUUUUCUCAAUAGAUUGAAAGAAUCAAAUAGUUGGGAUUUUAAGGCAAAAAAUGUUGAUUGAUCUAUUCUAAAGCUACAUUUGAUGAGAGCUAUCAAAAUAGUAGGAAGAAUUAGCAGUAGUACAAGAUGAAAAAGAAUGGUAAUUAUAUCCCUGCAAAAAAUGGAGAAAUUGCAAAGGAAAUUAGCAAAAUAGAAUUUAGGGGAGAAGGUUGGGUUGGAUAGCAACGAAAGGGUUUUAAGCAACUGGGGAAAAAAAAGAUUACCAAGGAAAGUAUCAAAGACAAGGUUUGUGAGACUGAAGAUGAAACAAGUAGGCUAGAUGCCUCAAUACCAUUUGUAGUUUUAGAUCCACUUUGUUUAAUCUAGUUAGUGUUCCACUUUAGCAAUAAGAAGCAAUUUGUUUUUCUUUUUUUUUUAUGGUUUUUGCAUAUUACCUGACAAACCGGUAUUCAUUUCCCAUCGAUCUAUAUCUAUAUGUAUUGCAGAGAGGGAUUUAGCAGAUACCCUCUCAAUGACUUCAAAUGUUCUCAUUCUUUUUUUUCUAGAAUUUUGUGAAUAUUUUAGGGCUUGAAUUUCAACCGCAAGGGUGGAUUUUUUGGAAAUAUGAGAGUGUUUGAAGUGCAAUUAGAGUAUUGAAUAUGAGUCAUUAUAACUAAUUUAGUUUUGUUGUAAUUACUUGGAUGUCCUUUUGAACAUUUAAAACUAGGGGUAAGUUUGAUAUAUGACAUUAUUUGAUAUCCGAUUAAACAUUGAGUACAACUGAAUUCAACUUGUGUUUUAGUGAAAUUACAUAAAAGCCCUUCUAAUAAUUUAAUUGUAUUAACAUCUAAAUCUUUUAAUUUUUUAAAGUCUUUCUCAUCAGUUAUUUGCAAAGUUAUGAUAUAUAGAUGUUAAGACACAAUUAAUGUCAAUUAGUAGAGAAGUCUGGUUUUUUGCCGUUAUCAUAGUAACUCCUAUCUAUUCAAAUUCAUUUCAUUUGCUUAUAGGUUUUGUUCCACCACAAUCAUGCAGCAUAUUGAAUUCGGAUGUUGUUACAUUAGCUACUCUUCUUCCCUAUUUUGCAACACCUUUUUCAAUAGGUAUGUUUUCUUUAACUAAUCUAUUUUUUUGUUGUAAAAAUCUGUAAUAUUGCAAGUUGUCUAUGCAAUAAUUUUUUAGUAUUUUAAUUCAAUUGUUCAUGUUAGACAAGCUUGAUAAGGAAGAGACCACAUUUGUUAAUUGUUAUUUACGGAUUAAAAUAAGUUUAUCAUCAUAAAUUUUCCCAUUUAUAGAUUGCAUCUACUUCUUUUGUUGUUUUAACUAUUAGUUAGGGUAAUUUUCAAAUCAUUUGCUACUUUAUUGACUAUUCCAUUUAGACAAUUUUUUACUUCAUCUGAUUUGCCAAUAUGUUUAACUAUCUACUUAAAACUAUUUGACUACAAAUCUAAAGUAUGUAUCUCAUUACUUUUAAUUAUUUUUCUUAAAUUGAGUGGAUUAAGAUGCUUUAGUACUUUUUUGAGGUAAUUAUUCCUCUAAAUUAGCAUGCUAGUUGUUGUAUAUCUUUGCAACUAACACAAAACUAAUAUUUCGUGAUUGUAACCCCUAUCGAGAAGGAGAUACUUUACUAUAUGUCCUAAAUCAUACAAUAAAUUAUAAUUAAUUGCUUGUUCAAUGUGAAGGCCUCGUGAUGAUAUAUGUCUUUGGAAUCAAUAUAAAUUCAAGAAUUUGGAUUGCAAGAACUGAAAUUCCACUAGUAAUGAUUUCUUCAAGUAUGCUAAUUGUUCAAAUCUCACUUAUAUGACAAGAUAAUGUGGUGGAUUGCCUUCAUAUCAAGAUCAAAUUCAAACUAAACAACAAAUUUUAAUAACUCUAAAGUGCAUGAGUAAAUAUAAAUAGGUCUUUUAUUAUACUAUAUUAGAUGCAAAAUAGUUGAUCGUAUCUUAUAAUUAUGUUUUAUUGCAUAUUAUAUUUUUUUAACUCAAUAUGUAACUUAUGAUUUUUUUAUUUAAUAUCACAUAAUAAAAAUUGUCAUACUUCAAUCCUUAUACUAUAAAAUGCCAAAUAAUAAUUAUUAAUCAUCUUUAAUUAUAGGCACUAAACUCCCAUGCGUUGCGUGGGCUUUUCCCCUAGUUUUAAUACAUAAAAUUAGGGGUGUGCAUUCAGUGCAAUGAUUUCGGUUAUUCGACCUAUAGAAAUCUAAAUCGUUUUCAAUUUCAAAUUGGCCAUAACCGAAUUCAUUCCGCAACCGAUUUCAAAUUCGAAAACGGUAAUGAAUUCGGUCUAACCGAAUUCAUCUAUUAAAAAAACUAACUUUUUAAAAAUUAUUACUGAUUUGAUUCCCAAAUUUAUUCAUAAUUUAACACAUUACUUAUGUUCUAAUCAUUUUGUGGUUUAAUUUAAUUGGCAUUUAUUUGAUCACUUAUACCUAGAAUCGUUAGUCUAUGAUUUAAGAAACACAUAAAAAGUGAUCAAUUUAAACUAGAAUAAACCUUAGAGUGUACGAUAAUUAGUGAUAAUUUAUGAAUUUAUAAUUUAAUAAUAAGUAAUAUUAGUAGCAAACUUACAAAUUACAACGAUUAGUGAUAAGUUAUAUUAGUUACAAACUUAUAAUUUGUUUUAAAUCAAAAUAAAACUUAUUUACUUACAUAUAUUAUUGUGAAAGUUAAUACACUAAUACAUUGAUUUGCAGUUCACAUACAUUCACUUGCACUGCUUAGUUGUCUUAUCUAUAUUUAAAGCCUUAAGAUUAGUGAAUAUAUAAUAUAAAUUUUUAUGUUAAAUAUGUAAUUUAAAUUUAGAGCACACUAAUACUUGCAAGUUAUAGAUUGCGCAUUCAAAUAUUCAAUAAUUCAAGCAUGAAUGAUCAAUGAUGUAUCAAAUUACCAAUAUCUAAAUUCUAAUUACUAAUUAUGUUUAUUAUUUAAUAUUUAGUAUUAAACAUAUAUGUAUUAAUUAUUAUCCAAUUCUAGUCAUGCUACUCACGUAUAAAAUAAUAAGUAAUUAUCUUAUAUUGUUAUGUAUUACUAUGUAUUUGUAUUAUUAUAGUCAUAUAACAUUUAACAAAUACUAAAAUAAUAUAUUGUACAUUAUUAUAUAUUAUUAUUAUUAUAUGUACAUGAUAUGAUGAUAAUACGAUAUACUAAUUAUUAUUAAUAGCAUUUACCUAUAUAAUAUAAUAAUAUAUUAGUAGUGUAUACUAAUACUAAAUAGCAUUUAUCUAUAUAUUAUAUAAUUUUAUAUAUCAAUUUGGUAUUCGAAUGCGGUAAUGAGGUACCCUAUUUCAGUUACCGAAUUUGAAUGCGAAAUUGGUUAUUACCAAAUUCAGAAUUUUAUUACCUAUUUCAUACCAUAUUAGAAUUCGGUGAAUUCGGUAUGUACCGAAUUUGUACCAAAUUACAAAAAAUUCGAUUUCAAAUUACCAAAUUAAAUUUAAAUUCGGUUAUGAAUUCGGUAUGAACCGAAUUUCCUCACCCCUACAUAAAAUCUAAUUAAAAACUUUAAAAUAGUAGGUUAUAAUUAAUCCUAUCACUAGUCAAAUUUAAAUUUUAAAAUUUAAAUCUUUCCCACUAUCUCCUUCAUAAACCGUUUAUAGUUUGUUAUUUAUACUUUAAGUUCUUUUUACUUCUUAAUUAAAUAAAAUACAUCUUGUCAAGCCAAAUUUCUUAGGGAUAAUUGAUUAGUCUCAUUUUUAAAAUUAUUCACUCUAUUAUAUCCUCAUCACUUUAGCCCAUUUUAUUCCUUCAUUAAGAAGGAUUAAUUUAUCUAGUCAAAUCCUUGAGAUAAUGUGAUUAGUCCUAUUUUUUAGUUAUUCAUUCAAUUAUUUCUUUAUCGCUUUCCUUCUGGGUACAAUAAUCAUUUGUCAAAAUAUUCUAAUGAUAUACUCGAUUACUCUUAUUUUUAAUAAUUUAUGUUUCCAUUACUAAAUCAAUUUUCUUGUGGUCUUAAACUUUUUUUUUUUUUUUGUGCAAGCUGAGGGCACUUACUAGGUUGCUUUUUUUAUUUUUAUGUUGGCUUUUAUUCAGUAAGUUUGUUUUUUAAAGUUUUAAAAUUUGAAUGUUGAAAUUAUACUCUAACAUUAAAUUGAGUAUGUAAAUAACAAUUAUGACAUUUUAUUUGCAUUUAGAAUAAUCUCAAUAUUAAUAUCAUGCAAGCAUCUAGAUGACUUUUCAUUUAGCACAUGUACACGAAAAAGUGCAUGUAAAGAAAAAUUAUGUAUGAAUUUUAAAUUAAUAAAAGUGUAUUUAGAAGGUUGCUUUUGGUGGUAUUUUAGCAAAAUUUUAAUGAAAAGGUUGUAUUUCACCAAAUUUACAUCCAAAAGUUUACUUUUUCGAUGAUUGCAAUUCUAGCUUUUUAUUUGAUUAAAAACACUUAAAAAUGAGGUAGCAACUUGGAAAAAUAAUUCUAACUUUUUAUAUGUCCAAAAACAUUUAAAAAGUAAGAUAAUGAAUCAUAAAUAGUGAAAGCAUUAAAAAAAAUAGAACUGCAGGGUUAGGGAAGGUAAAGAUUAGGGACAAUUAUCAAAUUUGAUGAUUCAUGUGAGUAUGGGCAAGUUAUAAUUAGGUUAAUCUAUAUAUUCCUACUUAGUUAAUGGUUCAAAAUAGAUGAGUCGUCAAUGAAUAUAGUUUUAUAUGGGUUUGGAUUAUCCAAUCAUCUAUUCACAGCCCAUUACUAAAUGUUAUUUACUUUUUCAUUCAUAUUUUGUUUAGCAACAAAAUAGUAAAUCAUAUCAACAUAUCAAGUUAAUAAAUCAAUUUUUACCUAAAGAAAGAGAAAAAAACAUAAAAAUUGCUUAAAGGAGCCUAAAAUGACCAUCAUAGUGAGUUUCAAAUUUUGUCACUAUAUGACAAUCUAAAAAUAAUUUAGAUAUUAAUGCAAACAAUCAAUUAACAUUCACGAAAUUUAUUAAACUUUUAUGAAAGAAAUGAAGGAAGUAAGAUAAAUUUCAAAAAAUAAAUAAUAGAAAUUAAAGAAGAGGGAAAAUGAUGAAUACAUCUUUGCAAAAAUUAGAAUAUAAUUAUUAGAGUAAUUUAGAUUUACCCAUUAAUGAUUGAGUUUGAAUCUAUGUCUAAUUUAAUUAAAUCAAAAUAAGUCAUUCAAAAUCUGUCAAUUUCAUACCCACUAAUUAAUGGGUUAAUUUGGUCACCCAUUUGAAUCUAAUUAAAUUACACACAAACUCAUUUGUUAAUAUACCACCAAAUAAAUAGGUUACCAUUUACAUUUAUAAAUAGAUGAAAAUAAUAAUAGAAUAGGAGACAAGUGAGCUGUAAAAUUAGAUACGAGAAAGGAUAAUUGGGUGGUAGCGAGAUAGAGCAAAGAGAAAAUAGGAUUUGAUAAAAGAGAAAAUGGUUGUAGGGAUACAAAAAAAUUGAGUAGGAUUUUAAGGAACGAAAAAGGUUGUAAGGAUGCGAGAAAGUUAAAUUCAGAAAGUAAAAAGAGAAUAGUGAAAAGUAGGAAGAAUAUCGAGGAGGAGAGAGGAGGUUGAGAGUGAAAAAAGUGGCAUGAAAAGGGAGAAUAUGAGAGAAAGGGAUAAUAUUAUUGUGUUUGGCCAUAUUUCUCCUCCUUCUCAUAUAAACCGUGCAUAGCACAGGCAAAAUACUAGUUAUGAAGUAUGGUUGAAUUAUGUUCAUAACUUGGUUUCAAGUAAAGGAGCAUCAUCUACUCAUUUUCCAUAUGUGAUUUUCUCCAAUCUUUUUCUUUCUUUCUUUUUUUGGUUGUUGUAUUGUAGAAAUAAGAGCUAAAACAGUAUAUUCACAUAUAAUUAUUGAUUAGGUCUUUCCCAAAUAACUCCCAAUAGUCAACAAAAAUGAGGGAUCCUAAUCUAAUUGAUGGCUAAUUACAUUACAUCACAUCACAAAAAGUGAUAUAAUAAUUAUUUCAAAUAAUACUUUUGUUUGGAUAAAGUAUUAUUUGAAAAAAAUGAAUUGGCAAAGUGUUUAUGAUGUACGUGAAAUAUUCUCUAAUUAUUUUUUGUUGGCAUUGGAUAAUAGACUUUUGCACAAUUAUGAGAAAGAUUACUCUUGCGAUUCAAAAAAAAAAAAUAUAGUUGCACUAGAUAGGAUUGACCACUUUUUUGAAAGGCCAAAAACGAAAAAUCUUUAUCUGUUAUGUAUGGAUUGAUUGAGUGAUGCAGAAAAACUUGGGGGUUGAUAUUUGGAUUAGUCCCGGUCUCCUGGUAUCAGGGUAUUAUUUGCGUGUAAUAUGCUGGGAAUUUAGUCAGUUGCCUAAGAAAAUGGUAAAAUGUGGAACCGACAAACCGCGUUCUAGCGUUCCAACUUCCAACCAAAACCAGCGAGUGAAACUCAGGUCCGACUUCGAAUUUAGAAACAAACACAAGUAGGGAAGGGUUAACAACUGGAAGAGUAGAAGAAGAAUCAGGUAAAAAGAAAAGGAAAGGAACCUCUCUCCCUCCCUCUCUCUAGCUCCUCAGAUAGAUCCCAUUUUCUGCUUUCACUCCGACGCAUACAUAGAGGACACUCUCAUACACAGUCUUCUCAUUCUGCAUUCACUCCUAAACCCCCCAGGCCCCAACCCUUUCUGCAUCUUCAAUUCACCUGAUUUGUCGGCAUUGUUAUUUCUACACUAUUAGGUGGCUUGGAUUCGAAUAAUGGCGGUGGCGGUCCGGGGCGGCCGAGGCAGCAGCAUCGGCGGAGGAUCUGGUGCCGGAUCCACCUUUCGUAACUUCUUCUCUUAUAGAGUCUUCGUCUCCGCCAUGUUUACCCUCCUCUUCCUCGCCACUCUCUCCGUCCUCUUCUCCUCUCACCCCUCCCAUCACGACGACGACGACUCCGUAAGUCCCGAUGUCUUCCCAAUUAUUUACUUCUUGUUUUGAGGGUUUUAUUGACAACAGCAAGUAUUGGUAGUAAGUAGUAGUAAUUUUUUGAACCCCCCCCCUUUUCCCCCUUCCUACUGUAUUAUGUCAGGUGAUUUUGACGAGCGGGAACGCCUACGUGCAAAGAACAUUUCUAGCGUUAAAUUCGACCCAUUAAAGACUAGGGUAGAUAUGAUAUACAGGCAAGCUAAUGAUCACAUUGCCCUUGUAAAUGCCUAUGCUGCUUAUGCUAGGAAUCUCAAGCUGGAGAUCUCUAAAAGCUUAAGAUGUUUGAUGAUUUAGCUAAUAAUUUUGCCGAGCUUCAACUGAAGCCCAAUUAUAGGAAUGCUUUGUUUGAAUCGGAUGGACCCAUAGACGAGGAUGUCUUGAGACAGUUUGAGAAAGAGGUUAAGGAUAAGAUUAAGGUUGCUAGGUCCAUGAUUGCCGAGUCAAAAGAGUCGUAUGAUAAUCAAUUGAAGAUUCAGAAGUUGAAGGAUACAUUUUUGCUGUCAAUGAGCUGCUUGUCAAGGCUAAGAAGAAUGGUGCUUUUACUAGCUUGAUCGCUGCUAAGUCAACUCCCAAGAGCUUGCAUUGUGUUGCCAUGCGGCUCAUGGAAGAGAGAAUUGCGCACCCAGAUAAUUAUGUGGAUGAGGACCCAAAGCCCGAGUUUGAGGACCCUACCUUGUAUCAUUACACAUAUUCUCGGAUAAUGUGAUUGCCGUAUCUGUGGUGGUUAAUUCGGCUGUGAAGAAUGCAAAGGAACCAUGGAAACAUGUCUUCCAUGUGGUUACAGAUAAGAUGAAUGUGGCUGCGAUGAAGGUUGGUUUAAGAUGAGGCGGUUGAAGGAGGUGUGCACGUGGAGAUCAAGUCUGUAGAGGAUUUUCCAUUCUUGAACUCAUCAUAUGUCCCGGUGCUAAGGCAACUUGAAUCAGCAAAUCUGCAGAAGUUUUACUUUGAGAACAGUGCAGAAAAUGCAACAAAAGAUGUGAACAACAUGAAAUUUAGGAACCCUAAGUACUUGUCGAUGUUGAAUCACCUUCGAUUUUACUUGCCAGAGAUGUAUCCCAAACUGCACCGGAUUUUGUUUUUGGAUGACGAUGUCGUAGUACAGAAGGAUUUGACUGCGUUGUGGAGAAUUGAUAUGGAUGGCAAGGUAAAUGGGGCAGUUGAGACCUGCUUCGGUUCAUUCCACCGCUUUGCACAAUAUAUGAACUUCUCCCAUCCUCUGAUCAGGGAGAAAUUCAAUCCCAAGGCCUGUGCCUGGGCAUUUGGGAUGAAUAUCUUUGAUCUUGAUGCUUGGAGGCGUGAAAAGUGCACUGAGGAAUACCAUUAUUGGCAGAACUUGGUUAGUAAACUUUGCUCUUUGUACUUAUGUUUUGUAAUUCUGUUGAUUACAUCCAGCUUUUCAAAAUAAGUGAGUGUUUUGUGCUUUGAGAUUCUGUUGUCUCACCUGUCCUGUUUAAAUUUUUAGGUCUAAAUUGUAUUAUCAAAUUUUUUGCUCUCUUAUCUUAAACAGAAUGAGGAUCGGACUCUCUGGAUGUUGGGAACUCUUCCGCCUGGGCUGAUGACCUUCUACUCAACGACCAAAUCUUUGGAUAAAUCUUGGCAUGUGCUUGGUCUUGGGUUCAACCCGAGUAUUAGCAUGGAUGAGAUUAACAAUGCUGCUGUCAUCCAUUUCAAUGGGAACAUGAAACCUUGGCUGGACAUUGCCAUGAACCAAUACAAGCAUCUUUGGACUAAAUAUGUUGAUUCUGACAUGAUAUUUGUGCAAAUGUGCAAUUUUGGCAUGUAGAAAUGCAGGAUUACUGUCAGUGAGGCAUCUCCAAGCUCAAAUUAUAGUUACCGUUCAUAGGGCUAGCAUUUUUCCUAUUUGUUGUAAUUCUAGGAGCGAAGCUCCUGGCAUGUGUUUUUUUACAUCCCUCUAGCUGUUUCUUGUUUUCGCUCCCUCUCUCACCCCCUCCCCCCCCCUCUCCUCUCCUCUCUAGUUGAUGUAUUCUCCAAUUGAAUGCACACGCUUUUCUUGAGUAAAGAUUGAGUUGAGUGUUUAACAAGAUUGAGUUGAGCAAAGAUUGUAUUCUCCUAAAAGUAAUGCAGUUGGGAACUAGGUUUCAUUUGCUGCAGAAUGUGGAGUUAUAUGAAUCUAGUUCGGCCACUCAUACUCUUAACUAAAUGUUUUUCCUAGAAUCCAUUCCUAAUUUGUGUCGUUAUGCUCUGCAAGUAUAAUAAUUGUCAUGUUUGUUGAGAUGCUCGGUUUAUGUGAGAUGCAGGCAUGUACCAUACAGAGUGGUUCUGUGAUCAUUUGUGCUCGUCAAAGAUCCAUCAGAAAUUUCAGGCUUCUCGAAUACUUGUCUUGUGGAAUAUCUGCGGUGAAAUUAAUUUUGCUUAACGAGUCAAUUCUUUAUGCAGUUACCAGGCAACUUCCUUCGGGGGAAGAAGAUCUCAAGAGCAUGGCCGUAUGAAGUCUAGUUUCCAGGUUGUCUUUUAAACACGGUUAACACUAGUUGGGAAGGGGUUGUAUUGAGGUAAUACUCUGAUAUGCGGAGUCAAAUCAAGCUAGUUAGCCAAAUGCUACUGAGCAUUUUCAUAAGAUGAGGGUUUAGUGGUGCGCAUCAUGAUGACGGCAGCCAUUCUUUUUCAUGUUAUCUUCAUGCUUUCAGAUGUUGCUGCUAUUGUGAAUUGUUCUUAUUCAUGUACGUAACCUUUCUUUCGAGGCAUAAGUUAAGGUAGAAAUGGUAGGCUUUGAACUUGGUGAUAGCUUACUGGUAAUAAUCUCUCUUCAAUUUACUGUAAACAAAAUUAGCAUGAAGAACAACUUUUUGAAGGCUUGCCGUCAAAAUCUUCUUGCAGUGGAAUUUGCUCAUAUAAGGAAUCAGUAGCUGAGCUUGCCGAGAUUCAAUUAAGAAAAAGAAAAAUCUCCGCUUCAGAAAAGUUUCAUCACAAAUUUACCCACUACUGCUGCUUCACAAUUCAGAGCUUAACACAUGACAUUUAAAGACAACGGCCCAGCUGCCCCAAAGAGCCGUCAAUGGGCCUUGGACCUUUUCCAGGGAAGACAGAUUUAGGACACUGCGACAAGCCUGGCCGCACGCAGCCGGGUUCACAUUCACUUAGGCUCGUGACGUCAGCUAGUUCUCUUUUCUAUGUAUCUCUGAUUACAGCUUAUGCACGCAUGAGCCCCCCAACAACUGUAUACAUACACGUUUCUAUAUAUAUAUAUAUAUAUAAUUUUUUUUUUAUUUAUCGUUACCAUCUACUCCUACUCCUACUCUAACCUAUACUAAGAAAGUGAUCCAACAGAAACUUUAACCUAUGCUACGAGAGUGAUCCAACGGAGCUAUCAAGAUCCGAUAGAAACUAAAUCGCCGUCAAAUCAUUCAAAUGCAAGAGACAUUCAUAUGAAUAUAAGAAAAGUCAUAAAUGACAACUUUUUGAUGGAAAAAAAAUUUAAAAUCCCUGACCUCUCGCCCCAAAAGAAUAGAAGUAAUUGGUUAAUCGAGGCAAAUAUCAUCACAAAAAAGUCGGAUGCUGCGGCGCAAUGACAACGGGUGGAAGGCAAUUGAGACCCGGAAUAUGCCAAAGAAUGUACGGGGCGGGGGUUCUUUGAACAUUGUGCAACAGUAGCAAUGUAGAAUUAAAGUGUCUCCAUUAAUAGCAGUUCCAACGUCCCUUUUUAUUAAAGUUUUUCCUCCCCAAAAUGAUUCCCCCUGAGUUACUAUCGUUUAAAAUACUCUUCGCGUAGCCGAGCCGCCGCGACCCACGAAAGUAAAUGCAAUACAGACCACCCAAUUUACUACGUACUCUACAAAAGUAAAUGCAAUAUAGACCACCCAAUUUACUACCCAAUUUACCACCCAAUUUCAACAAGUCUUUGACUUGAUCACUGCUGUUAUUCAACCAACCACUCCACCCUCCUCCCUAAAUUAGUUGGCCAUCAACAGAGUCUCUACUUGAAUGAUGUAAAUUAAUAUAUUAAAUUUCUUGAACAAAAUUUCGAUAGCAGGGGCGUAGGCAUUCAUGUGAGCCGGUGACGAUUCAGUUCAUUCUGCAACGAUUCAGUCCCUUCUGAUUUUUCCGUUAAUUUUCUUGAGUUUUCCAUCUCCCUGGCACAGAGAAGGAGUGAGUAUAAUUAGAAUCUAUCGUAUCCAACAACAAAAAAAAAUAAUAUCACUGUUAUUCAAGAAAAGCGAGUGGAAAAAGAAGCCAAAUGGCAAAUGUGUUCAUGUUGUCGACAUAUUUAACACAUUCAGAAUUUUUUUUGGGGUACAAGUUCCAUCCGGGAAAACGUUGCGGUUGCCUUUUUCUCCCGCUGACUAACUAAAAGCUAAUAAUAAUAGUUGUAUUUCGUGCAGCGCCGAUGCGCUACGUUCUUUUUUUUUUUUUAUGUAUGGCUCUCGUCAUCUAUAGGCAAAGUGAAAUAUGGUGGAGAUGGCCAGCUCUAGAGUUCGCUGUUUAAUGGAUAGUCGAUCUUUUUCUUCCAUUAUUCUUCUUGUGCUCUAGUACGGAUCUAAAUACAGUUCCUAUCUAAUACUAACAGUCAUUUUCCUCCUCACCAGUAAGUAAAGUGGGAGGUUUCGGCAAAACCCUCAAGAUUUUCUUGGUUCUUUGCUGAAAGCCCUCCAUCUCCAUUUCUUUUUUAGAGAUGAAAUUUUAAGGAAUUGACCAAAUUAAGGUUGCCAACUAUAAUUAGGUGAUACAACACUGUGAAACAGACAGAUGCACUCUUGAACCUUGAUCCAGAACACAGAAAGAGAGAGAUGUGACGUUCACUUGGAUGUUUGACAUCAAACCAACUGGUACGAGGAAUGCAUCACCGAACUGGAUCAGGAUGAUUGAGAAAACAACAACUCCUCAGAAAAAUAUUAGCAAGAUGAUCAUUUUACAGGAGUACAACAGAAAAUUUAGCACCUCACUCCCUGGAUUUUUUUUUUAUUUUUUUAUUUUAUCAAAUUAUUAACCCAGACAUUUCUAUUCAAAUCGUAAAGAAAUCCACACUUCGAUACAUUCACGCAAAGGAGCCCUAAUCAAAACAUGGCAAAGCCAAUCCCAGGCAGCCAACAUGAUUCAUCGAGGAACAUGAAAUCACGCAUAUACAUUUGUGCACAAGGUGCAUAGACCCGUCUACAUUCAUUCAUGCACGACCGAUUUUCCUUCCAUUCUAUCAAGAAGUUUGAGAGGAAAACAAAUCGUCCCAGUCCCACUUGCAUUAUAAUCCCUCAGUAGUGACUGUGUGACAUCCACUCAUCCUCAAUUUACACAUCCGGAAGAAACUCUAAGCAAGAGACAAGAAAAGUACAAAAGAGAGUUGGAUAGGGCUUUUAUCUAUCCUUCUACAUAAAGCUUAGUACUUGCAUGGCAGGCAGAAAGAAAUCCAGGAGUGGCAUUAGUCGGACAGUCAUAUAGAGUUCCAAAUUUCUUUCUACGAAAAGAUGAUCAAACAUGAUGGUGGCCCUGUUCGUCUGGGCAAUUAUCCGGCGGAGAAGACACCGGGACUGCCAAAUGUGAGGGAUUUUCAUCACCGGCCAUGAUGACAACAAUCUGUGGCGUCAUGGCAGCGGCAGUGGUGGUUGAGGGCUUCACCGACGACUUCUCCUCAUCGCCGCCCGACACGUUGGAGAAUCGUUUAUGAUAGGAACAAGCAAGGAUUACUAAUGCUACGGUGAUGAGAGUUAACAUGGCACCCAAGCCAAAAAACAGAUAUGGCAACGGAGAGUUCCAUUGCCAAAAGCUAGGGGUUUUAGCUGGUACUACCAUCUCUCUCUCUCUUGCAAACUCUUCCUCUUUUUAACUGAGUUAAUUCUCGACUCAAAUGCGGUUGAUGGUAUCCUGAUUGUCCAAUAUAUGGCUUAGCCUUGAGAAGACUCAGUGAGUAGAGCCUCAGAGGUGUCGACACACACAUAUAUAUAUUAUUUAUAGGAAGGCCAACUUUCUCUCCCUAGUGGUGUCGAUCAUUGCAAGUACUAAAAUGCCACUGGCAUCAGGGAAAAGAUUCUUCUGGUGCUUUUACGGAUUCCGGGUCAGAACAGGAGUUUCUCGGUGCUGCUGAUAUGCAUGCUAGCAUUAGAAGUUUCUUUUGCUUCCCACAAAUUACAGUAGACGCACUAACUAAUUAAUUUUAUCUUUAAUUAAUUAAGCAGUGCAGCAGACCCAUCGAUCCAAUCGAAAUGUUGGGCCUGUUUGGAACCUAAAUUUUUUGGGAAUUUGUCUAAAACUUUACUGUAGUGCACUGUAGAAGUUUUUGAAAAAAUUUUGUAGAAAUUUUUGUUAGGUGAAAAAUUUUGUAAAAGUUUUUGUAAGGUGAAAAACUUUUUUUUUCUUUCCCUUUCUUUUUCUUUUUCUUUUUCUUUCUUUCUUUUUCUUUUCUUUCCUCUCUUUUUCUUCUUCUUCUUCUUCUUCUUCCCCGUUACCUCCACCACCCCCAGCUGCAACUCCACCUCUCGCCGUCCCCCUCUGCCCCUUCCCCCUCCCCCCGCCUUCCCUCUCCCCCGCCGUCCCCCUUCCCCGCAGCCUCUCUCUCCCCCGCCUUCCCCCCCGCAGCCCCCUCUGCCCCUCCCCCCGCCUUCCCUCUCUCCCCUGCCGUCCCCCUCCCUGCCGCCUUCCCCCUCCCCCCGCCGCCUCUCUCUCCCCCAUCUUCCCCCCCGCAGCCCCCCUCUGCCCCUUCCCCCUCCCCCGCCUUCCCUCUCUCCCCCGCAUUCCCCCUCCCCCGCAGCCUCUCUCUCCCCGCCUUCCCCCCGCAGCCCCCCUCUGCCUCUCCUCCCGCCUUCCCUCUCUCCCCGCCGUCCCCCUCCCUGCCCCUUCCCCCUCCCCCGCCGCCUCUCUCUCCCCUAUCUUCCCCCCGCAGCCCCCCUUUGCCCCUUCCCCUCCCCCCGCCUUCCCUCUCUCCCCGCCGCCCCCUCUGCCCCUCCCCCCCCCCCCCUGGCCGUCCCUUCCCCCUUCCCCCUCUGCCCUCUUGGUCGCCCCUCUCUGUGCCAGACGUAAAGAGAGAGAAAAAAAAAAAAAAGACAAGGGAGGAUGAUGGCAGGGGAGGAAGAGGGGGAAAGGGAAAAAAAUGGGGAAAAAAAAAGACCGGCACCGGAUCGGAAAUUGGUGACGGAGCCGGCAAUGGAGGUGGUAGUGAGGGAGGAAGAAGAAGAAAAGAGGAAGGGAAUUUUUUUUUUUUGUUGUGUUUUGGAUAUUUUAAGUGUGUAGGUUAAAAGCUUUGAUAAGUUUAUUGGGGUUCCUGUAGCAAAAGUUGUUAAAAAACUAGUUUUAUACAAACUUGGUAAAAAACCAAGCUUCCAAACAGGCCUGUUGUUGGUGGGUUGGACGUUAAUCUCAGUCGGCUUCCCAAUUAAAUACAAUGCGGGGCUUCGACAAUUUUCAAUCUCGAAUUGCACGGUACAACAACGUAUACAUGCACUAGCACAACAAAUGCACAGAGUGCAAGUAUUAAGACAACGACCACAUGCAAAAAUACACCAAAUUUUGAUAUUUAUUAAGACUAAGACCCUUGUUUAAUAAUCCAAUUCAACACUUAAAUUUAACGGAUAAUUAAAAAUUAAACAUCUAAAUUUAUUAAGUGGCACUGAAUUUUCUUUCUAGGCAAAACUUGCUCUCAAAAUUAAGUGAUAAACUAUAUAUUCACUUGUAACUGAAUGUGAUAUGUAUUCAAAUAUAUUAGAGUUAAUAUUUAACAACUGAAUGAAUUCAAAGUUUAGAUUGCAUAUUUCAGUUUUAUCAAACGUACCCUCAGUAUUACAAUCAAAUUACAUCUAUAGAGUUCUAAAUUUAAUCAACUCUUACUACUAAAUAUGCUCAUACACAUACAUAAUUAGUAAGGAAUGGAAAUAUUCAUUUUUUGAAAUGUGAGGGAUGGAGAAAUUCAUUUUGUGAAAUGUGAGGGAUGAAAAAAUCAUUUUAUAAAAUGUGAGGGACGAAAAAAUUUGUUUUAUAAAAUGUGGAGGACUAUAGAUCAGAUUAUGUAAAAUAUAAUUUGACAAAUUUACCCUUAAAAAAUGAUCACGUGCCUUGCACGUGAUGGAUUCCGGCAAAAAAAUGAUCGGAAAUCUAGUUAGGGACUAAAUUUGACCGAUAUGAAUAUGUAAGGGACAUAAAAUUACACUUUUAAAAGUGAGGGAUGAAAAAGUUAUUUUAUAAAAUAUGAUGGACGUUUUGGACGAUUUUCCCUGUAUAUUAUAACGAGCUCCAAAAACACUAGGUUGACUUGAGGAUGGAAGAAUUCGUAAAGGUAGGAAGAUUACUAUUAAUUAGACAAGUUUGCACGGCAUGACUACUGAGUAUAACUAGAAGCACUUUGAGGUCAAAGUGUUCACAUAAUAUUAUUGUAAAUUCGUGGAUAACUCAAGCCAUGAGAGGCUUGACUAUAAGAAGUUGUAAUACUUUUUAAUGAACAACUUGUUUUUUUUCUUUUAACGAUGAAAUCAGAAGUCAAUUACUAACCCUGAAUCCAGGUUUUUAAUGAACAACUGGAUAGCACUCAUUAUAAAUAGCCAUUCAUCAUAAAUUUCUUUUUUUUUUUGGUUUUUUUUUUCAUUCAAAAGAAAAGGAAGGACAGUAGGACAUCGCAAAUUUGUGCUCACAGCUUGAGUGUCUGAUGUUAAUUAAUCCCCCUAAGCACCCACGAUCGAGUUAUGGCAUUAGGCGGUGUGAAAUGGAGCAAAUUAAGUACUUGGAUAAGUUUACAAGACAGAGUAACAAUGUAUCAAGUUUGCUGACUUCAUACCCCAAGGGGUUUUAAUAUGUGCUCAUGUAUUAUGAGUUGAAUUGUACUCCAUAUAUAAGUGCUCAUUUUUACACAUUAACUACUUGUUAUCCUUUUUUUUAAAACAUGGUUUAUAGGGUUUUCCAUGCACAAAGUGGAAAAUGGGCUUGCUCAAAAUAAACAAGGCAAAUGGGCAGAGCAUCUCACAAGGCGUAACUGGAAUUGAAAGGGUCAUGACUUCACUUCUUGGUGAAAUUUGUGGCGUAAUUUUAUCGGAAUAGGAAUUUGGAUUUGGACUUGGAUCCUUAAUUGAUGCCUGACACUCUAAAUUUUUCACUCUCAAUAGACUUCCACCCAAAAAAAAAAAAAAGAAAAAGAAAAAAUGAAUCAUACAAGAAAAGAAAAACAACCCCACUUCUUUUUCUUUCCAAAGUGGGUACUAGGUGGCUUGGCAUCAUACAUUAAAUAAGAUAGAAUUAGAAAGCAACGUAUUAAAUCCGCAGUAAUGUUACCCAUCCAGACGGCGUGGCAAAUUUGUGUUGAGGCUGUAGGGCAAGCACAUAGAGAUAAUUAUCAGACUUGUACUACUAGUCAGAGAAGAUGUAUGUAUCUGGUAGUGUGGCCUGCGGAAUUGGAGCAUCCACCAGUGAUUUUCAAUUUUGCGUCGCUGUGUGUAUUAGGGUCGUGAAAAAGAUGCAAGACCACUACUCACAAGGAGAUGAUAAGGGGCCCGAAGUGGCCAAGAUUUUCAACUGGGAUUCAUUGGUGAGACAGAGAAGAAAAAAGCAGUAUCACCAAUGUCUCCCACUAAAGAAGGCGAAGGCGGCGUGGAAUAGGAGCAACGUCCCAACCCGGCCAACUCCCUUCUCCCCCUCAUUCUAUUACAACAAUUGGCCCAGCAACUCAACAACAGUCCUCCCCUUGACAAUCUAAUCUCUCCUGCUCUGUCUGGAUCGCUGAAUGUGCCUGCAGGGCUUCCACAUCUUGCUCUUUCGCCCUUUCCAGCAGAGCUUUAUAGUGCAAGGUGUAUACCAUAUAUAAUAGCCUGCACGAAGCUCUACGAGUACAGCUGUUGGAAUGAGCUUUUUUUUGAGAAAUUCUGUUAAAGCAGUGAAAAUCUGAAACUCAUGUUGUUACAAGUGAGGAAUGGUAAGGGAGAAGAUCUACAACACUUCAUCUCCAUUUUGAAUGAUUCCCGUAAUAGCCUAUUAAACAAACAAUAGAUAUGCGUAAUCACAAACAAACCUCAUGUCUUCUUUUUGCUUUUAAAACUCACGUGGGAGAAAGAAGGUGACAACAAUCAAUUAUAUAUACUACCUCAAACUCAAGUAAAUUAGUAUAAUUUUCACCCAAAAAAAAAAAAGAGAGAAAAAUAUCCAACACAAAAUAUCAUAGCAUGGAGUUGGACAUUUUAUCUUAAACUCAUAUGAGAUGUUUGCAAGAUUACAAGAAUUAUUUAUUUCACACCAUGAAGUGGCCUGGUGAGAUUUUCAUCAUCAAAAAUGUAUAUGCCUCUCCCCUUCCGAUUGCCCACAGAAAGCAAAAUGUACAUUAGAUUGAGGUGGUCAAAAACCAUCAACGUCCGUCCGUCGAGAAACCAAUUACAAAAACGUGUGAUUUAGGUUCCGUUUGAUAAAACUGAAUCUGAAUUCUGAAGUCUGAAAUCUAAAUACUGAAACAAUUAAUUUGCUGAAUUUUAAGCACUGAAAAAAAAUAUAUGAAUGCCUAAAUUUUAAUGCUAAACCUAUUUAUGCUGUUUGAUAAAUAUUUAUAGUUGAAUGCUUAAUAAGCUUAAUUUGACAAUUUUGCCCUUAUAUCCUUUCAUUCAAAAAAGAAAUAGAAUCUAUGAUUUAAUUAGUUUAAAAUUGUUAGGUAUGAAAAUGACAAUAUUUAUUUUUAAAUCAAAUUAAUAUAAAAGAUGAAAUAUAUUAUAUGAGGAGUAUGAAGAAGAUAUGAAAGUCAUUAAAAAGGGAGAAAAGAGAAACUAAAAAUCGUUAGAUAGAGAAUAUUAUAUUGUUUAAUUAGAUAAAAAUUUUGAACAUAAUUAACAAACAAUGGUAGAUUUAGUAGAUAAGAUAAGGUAGUUGAAGUAAUUCUAUUGAUUCUUAUCAGAAUUAAGCAUUCAGUUAGGAUUCUUGUGCUGAAAAAAUUACACACAGGUUCAGCACUGCUUAACAAGUUCAGCAAAUAGAUUUUUAUUUAUCAAACAUUUAAAACAUUUGAAUGUCUGAAAAAAUUCAGAUUCAACACUUUUUUAUGUUAUCAAACGGACCCUUAGUAAAAUCAUAAGAAACAGACGAAGCUACAAUACUUAUUCAUGUCUUCCACUGACUAAGAAAGACGAUGUGGAUUGUGGACGAAUAAUGAUGCUUUUCCUUUUAGACUCGUUAAUUUGAUUCAGAUUUGGAAUAAGAAAACAUCGAGAUCAUCCGCACCCUUUUUACUUGCUCUCUCUCGGUUGGUCCUGCCCCUUUUAAACCAACUCCUCUCCAAAACCAAACCACCCAAAUAUUUCACUAAAGUACAGCCAAAAAUUACACAUCCGAGACGCCACGCCCCACCAACCUACUCCCAUUAACAUUUUAGAAUACUAAUCACUUGCACCCGAAGUCAAACGUUGUUAGACCCCAGCCGUACGUAGAAAGCAGAGGCCAGCUUAUAUUCUAUGUUUUGGUGUUUUUCCAUCAUGACCAGCUGCAUCACAGUUAAAAUUCCCCACUAUCAUUCUAUAUUGAUAUCCGUUUCUUGAUGCUUUAUGACGAAUAACUUUUACUGACCCACCCAAAAUUUGUUUUUUUUUUUCUUUUUUGAGAAAUAUAAUACUAUAAUAUCUCUUAGGUUCACACGGUGGCCGGGUGCUCAAAGUUGAAACGGCUACCUUAAGAUAAGAAUAAGCAGGGAAAACGAGGACAUUUCUUUGCUCGAGGAUGAAAUCAAUGGAAAUGUCGACGUUGCUGUAAAGAAUUGAUUGAAACAAGAAGAAAGAAAGAUGGUGGUGAUACGUGUGAUACCUAAGACAUCUGUAAGUUUCCGAGCAAACAGUGUGGAUCAUUUCAUCGUAAGAAGAAUGUCACCACAAGUUGCUGGAAGAAUCACUUGCUUGCUGUCACGAUUAAGUUUUCGGCGAAGAUAUUGACCCUGACUUCAUGAGCAUUAGUAAAAGAUAUGAGGGUGAAACCGGAAAGAGGUGAUCCAGGUCUUAUAUUUUUUUCUUUUAUAAGCAGCCACGAUUAUUUGUUUGAAUAAAUAUUAUAUACACUGACAGUAUAUACACUAUCAUAUCACCGAUGAAUUCAUGACAUGCAUGUAAAAGUUGAAUUUCAAAUUCAAAUUUUAUAUAACUGACAUUCAUCCAACACUGACUGACUGCAACGUACACACUAUCAGCGUGGAAAAAACUAAUCCUAUUUGUUUCGUAAAGGAAAAACAAAACUACAUUUAUUUUGCAAAUUUUUGAAUUGUUCAUGACCGGUGGCAAUCCACGUCUUACUCAUGUGGCGACUUUUUCUUUUCUUUUUUUUUUUUUGGGCAUUGGAAAAUUGAUUCAAUUCUCAGCUAUUCAAAUCCUAACGUCGGCCCAGAUAAUACAUAGAUGAGAUUAAAUGUCAACUAGAAUUAACGAUCACCCAAAAAUAAAACAGCAUAUGUAAACUACGCCUGAUGGCCGGCUAUAUGUAUUCUUUAGUUGUAUUUUUAAGAUCAAAAAAAUGAAAAAAUUCACAAGGAAGUGCAGCUUAAUUAGUUGAUUACGAUGUAGAAAAUAUCUGACGUGUAACCAAUUUAUCAAACUCAAAUUUUGGAUAUGAUGACACAGUCAUAUAUAGCAAUUUUUUUUUGGAAUCGGUUCAAUUUUGAUGAUCAUCACUUCACUACAGAUGAGAAUAUGUUGUCGGAAUUACAGGUCAUUGUGGCUUGGGAUUAUUUCUAUGGGCUAGCUAUGGGCUUUGGUCAAGUCAUAUUUUCCCAUGAUUGUCAAGAGUCAUGGCCGCCGGAGACCUAAAGAAGGUCGUGGGUCUCCGCAGGAAUGUAUCAUUCGUCUUCCCGCUCAAGACUUGGGUCCUCAUCUCAUCUGGGAAACAAUUGAUUGACCCAGUCAGUCUAUACAUACAUUAUCAUAAACAAUCCCGUUGAUAGAGAUUAAAGAUCAACUAAGCAUUGGCCUAAUCGGAAAAUGUAACCGUAGUUGACUCGUUAUACAUGACGCGCCGGUUUAAGUUUCAUCAUUGUGAAAGGGCGAACCAUUUUUUCUUGUAUUAUACUACUAUUAGAUAAGCUCAUUUUAGCUUUUUUUUUUUUAUUUUUCCUCUUCUGGAAAAUAUACUGAAAUAGUAGCCGUGAAUCUUCUUGAAUUCAAAGCAGAAUUAAGAGAGUUAUUUUUCCAAGGACCCCAGAAACAAAAAAAAAAAAAGAAAAUGAACCACAGCCUUAUUAAUUCCUUCCCCUUCAUAGACUUUGUUAUACUACUACUACUACUCAAAUGAAUAUUGCAAAUUCAAUUUCAAUAAAACCAUUCUUAUUUCUCAUGAGAAAUUAACUUUGUUUACAUGUCAUUUAUUUCUCAUGAUAUUCAUCAGCAGCUAGCUAUAUUUAUGCAUGCGAAAUAAUUAAUGCAUAUUCAUCCAAUCCGGAUGCUGGCUAGGCUAUUGUAUAUACCAUGUGUGCAUGAUUGGACGACGAAAGCAACUAAAUUUUGUUCAAUAAAUUCUCAAGAAUUAAUUUAUUCUUGAACAAUAUUAAUCGACAAUAAGGCUUUUCUGCUCACCAAAAAAUUUACAUUUUCCCGCUUGGCUGACCAAAAAUUGACAAAGAACAAGUAAAUGGAACAAAGAAGCCGCGUGUGUGAAAGGUAAAACUAGCAUAAUAAAGAACGGAUUCUAAUACAAAUCUAAUAUGCCAGUGAUUUCAAACUGUCUAGCAAGCAGAGCCAUGUUUCUUCUCAGACUUGUUGAUCACAGUGGCUAGUAGACUGAGUGGUCGGCUUGGCGAGGUAAGUGGGGUUGUCAUCUCCGGCCAUGAUUACGACUAUCCUGGGCUCCGGUUCAUCAGGGCGUAGCACGGCGGCCCUCGUUGAUUUUUCCUGAUCAUCAUCGUUGUUGCCUGAGGAUUGAGUAGUAGUAGUAGUAGUAGGAUUCCUGUAAGAGCAGGCAAGAAUAAGAAGAGAAAAUGCAAUGAGCCCUAACAUGAGAGCAAGGCCAGCAAAGAGGUAAGGAAGAGGUGUAUUCCAGUGAUUGAAUAAUCCAGAGUUGACAUGAGCGGAAGUGGAGUUGUUUUCCUGGGUCAUUUUCUUUUUUUUUUUUUUUUUUUGGUUUUUGGUUUUGUCUACAGAUGUCUUUUGCCUUAGAGUUCUUGCAGCUUUAAUUUUGCAAUCAAGAGGAGAUCGCAUGUAUUUAUCCGUAUAAUUUAUAGGCCACCAGGGCAGGGCAAAUGAAUCACCAUUACGGUGCAUGGGUUCGGAUUAGGAUGGGUGAUUCAGUGAAUUACCAAAAAUGACCUGCAUGAGUAAGUGGGAUUCUUUCUUGUGCUUGGCUGUUUCUUCUUUUGGUGAUCCUUCCUCGAAGAGAGAAUAGAUUGGGCCGCAAGUCUCUGCUGGAUUCACCAGCUAGCUGCCUUCCUCAUUUGCCCUCUCUUAAUUAAUUAUCAAUUAUUAUCUCAAGAUUUUAUUUCUAUUCCAUGCACCAUGACUUUGAAGCAACCAGUUUAACUUUGAGCCUUAAAGGAUAAACUAACUAAUCCACAUUGUCUUAUUCUGGAUGUUCCGAUUGAGAAUCCAAGAGUUAAUACCACUUAGCACGUAAUCCGAAAGUUAAAUACCAGUGAGAGAUGUUUAAGGCGAGAAUCGAAUAUGUGACAAGAGUACCGCUGCGUACUAACAAAGUUAAUGAUUAAACCCCGUUCGAAAAAUCAAUCAACAAUUUUUUUUUUAUAUCAUGAUAUUGGGUAGCUUAAUUAAAGAUUUGUGAUUACUUUUUAUUUUUGUUUGUUUGUGUCUUAGUUGAAUGCGCGAGAACAUCGUGCACAAUACUCGUUGGCAAUUAGACAAACCCGACAGUGUGAUGAGGAGGUAGAUAAAAUUCUUCUUUCUUCCGCACCUAGAAAAGUUCAUAGAUUAAUUAAUUCUCUCAAAUUAUUACCAACGGCAAAUAUGGCUUGGUGUGAUCGUAGCGGGGUUUUUUUAUUUUGACUGUAACGAUAACAUUUUUUAUAACCAAAUUCAUCUUAUUCCACAGAAAAUGGGAGUCUAAAGAAAUUGUGUAAGGAAUUAGCAGAUAUAUGAACUCGACUAAAUUAAAAGAAUACUGUGACACUAUUUUUAAAUUUUUUUCACUAUAAAUGAAAUUCGAAUUCUUGACAUAAUAGUCUCUUUUUGGUGGCCAUUGAGGCACAAGCUCCGUGAUUAAUAGGAGCAGGGUUUGGGCUAAGGGUAUUUUGGUGAUAUGAGGUUGUGAAGACCAGCGGUAGUUGAAUGAAGCAACGGGCAAGUGAAAGGGAGAAUGAGUGUGAAAUUGAUUUCGUUGAGCCACGAAAAUGACCGCGAGUUUCUUGCAUGAUGGGCUCUUAGCUUUUUUCUAACCAAACCCCAACACUGGCCCCCAUUAAACGUGUUCUCUUGGCUCAAGUAUCCUCUUUAAUUAAUACUCAGGCGGCAACAAAGGAAGCCUGAGCUAAUUGAACACGAACACCGCCUGCCAAAUUCCCUACCAAUUAUGAGCCAGGAGAAGAAGAAAAAUUGGAAAUAAUUAGGAAUAACAAUGGGUGGGUAGGGUUAAAUCCGAUAUCAUUGGUACUCGAUCUGAUGGUUAUCCAAUUAGAUGACAGUUGGAUGGGUAAUUGGUUAGAAUUUGAUAUUGAGGAGGGGUAAUCGAUAGAUAAUCCAUUCGAUAAGAUUUGAUAAAAAAAAAUGCUAAAAACUCGAAACUCGAUACCCGUCAUACAAACAUAACAUAAAAUUAAGGCACGCAGGCAUAAUUAGUAAGGCGCACAGGCAUGACAUAUGUUGUGCCUUAAUUUUAUGGUCCAACAAUAAUUAUUAAUUGACCCUCAAAUUCUCUCUUCUUUUUUUUAUCAUCCCUCAAAUCCUCAAACUUACAAUUUUUAUCUUUUUAAUGUAUUAAUUUCAGUUUGAGUGUAUCCAAUGAAUAAUAUGAACCUAAUAUCGAGAGGGAUUCAUGAUGGAAGUUAAAAUCUGCAGGAUUACCAGAAAAAAUUUAGUAAAAGACUUAGAUAUACAGGUUAAAAUUUGGUAAGAGAGAUUUUUGAGGGUACUAACUUUCUACCAUUCUUAGACAUAAGUGCUUUACUUUUGUUACCUUUGUUGAGGAAUACAAGGAAAGAGAAGCAGAGAAGAGAUUCGUGGAUUAGGAUGAAACCAAUUAAAACAUAUCCAAUUUCUUUAUUCACUUUUUACGAUUUUAACAUUUAUUAACAGGUUAUACUUUUUAAUGAAACUGACUCAUCGAGGUGCGAAUGUAGAUACACUACCUAAGGAAAACCCACAACUCAAUCCAAAAGACAUGCUGAUUUUCAGGCUACACUGAGAGAACCUUGAGUAGUAUACACACGCCAGUCACAAUCACACAGCUAUUUCGUAUAGUCGCCUUCGAGUUCAUAUUAUCAAUUCAUGUUCUUGGAGAAUUAGCACUGGAAAACCAUGUAACACAACGUUGGCUUUGGUAAUUGGUGGUACAAGAGAACCGAAACCGAAAAUUAAAAGGAUGGAAAUGAUGAAUGUUAAAGCGAAUUGGUGUGGUGGGUCUUUUGCAUGGAAUUAAAAAUUCCGGUGGUGGAACUUGGGAGACUGAGACUUUAGACUCUAGAGAAGGAAGGUUUCUUCAGACUGGAAAGAGACAGGCACAACGGAAUUUAUAGGGAAAGUAUGCUGCUAGUUGAAUUGAAUCGAAUCUGCCAAAGAAUUACAUUUGAUUCUCAUCAACUGAGGGAUGCGGAGAAAAUGUUGUUAAUGUCCCCCAGGAACAGUUUUAGCAAGCCACCAUAUAUAUAUAUAUAUAUAUAUUUUUGGUGGAUAAAAACAGCCCUCCGUUUUUACAAUUUACAUGCCAAUUUUCAAUGGUUAACGCUUGGGUCGAUUCGUGACCCAAAUUCUAUCACACCGUCAUACUAAUUCAAGUAUUGAAAAUGUGGCAAAAUUUGGAUCACUAGUUCUACAAGAUCGGAUCUACUCCAGUUUUUGCCAUUUCCAAUGUCCUGGUAUUCAUGACAGACAGAAACUACAGAAUUGAAUUUUAUUAGAGAUGUAUCAUAUGUGCAAGGCUUUCUAUCACUUUUUUUUUUUUUUUUUUUUUCAUCAUAGUGGGUAUCUGGGUCCGUGGACUGGUUACCGUACGACCCAACUAAUCUCACUGCGGGCUGGGAGAGGCCUGCCCCAAGCGUCACCAGCCACGGUAGAACCGGGAUUCGAUCCCUAGACGUGGCUCUUCCCCAACUGGGACUACAACCACGGGACCGAACCCGGAGGGGCACUUUCUAUCACUUUUCAUUUUGAGCUUUUGGGUCCGUCCAAUGUUGUUUAUUUCCAAGGUUUUUUUUUUUUUUUUUGUUUUGGUGAGAUGGCACUUUUGUGCUGGGCUUUUUUUGAAAUUGGUACUCAGCUUGCCUGCUAGGCUAUUCAACACUUCUUGUUUUGAGUUUCUCGGCCCAUUAAGGACCAAACCCACGCUAAAUCCACCAAAAAUUCUACAGCUUGCUGGGCUGAGAAGCAUAUCUCCGUAUGUUGCGCGCUGAUUAUCCAAUACAGCAGCAUAUUAAUGUUGAUAACGGCGCUGGCUGGUCACGCAAUUUCCCGGAUAACGGGAAAAAUUCCCCGCCGUCUUUCCGCCGCGUGAGUGGUAGCAUCUCUGCUAAACUUUACUAACUUCUCAGCUGGUCAGUCUUCUUGUCCAGCAUAACCACAAUUCACGUGCACCUCACUAAAUUCUGAUUGCAGCCUCAACUCCUAAUUUUGUUUUUAUUUCCCAAUAGUGUUGUAAAUUGCAAAUGAACUUGACGAUUUUUUUUUAAUUGGAUAAAGUGGACGGAACUCUGCCGUAAAUAAUAGGUUAGGACUAGGAGGAGGACAAGGACUAGAUGAGGUGCAGAAAAAUACAAGUUCUUGUCAAAAAAAAAAAAAAAAAGGAUUUUCGGGUAUUUUACUUAUCUCAUGUACAAGAUUGGAAAUGAAAAUGGGAGUGUUCAUGGGGGCUUCUGCAAUCUGAUGGAUGCAUGUUUCUGGACAUUCAUUUCAGGCCCAUUAAUAUUUAUAUGCAAAUUCUGGAACCAAGUGAUGAAUAUAAUUUUUAUGUUAUUAUAUUAUUAGUAGUUACUAGUUAUGUGUUGCAUGGCAUUAUCUAUGAUUAGAUCUGAAUGCACAUGAAAUUGCCAAUUAUGAAUGCUAGCUCUCAAGGGAUCUCAAGAUUUUAGUCCAAAAAUUAAUUUAGCGCUGUUGUUUCUUUACUUGGGUCUUUUGUUGGUGGUAAAUUAUUGAAAUGAAAACCUACAAGUAGAUUGGCUAGUCUAUUAAACACGUAGAAAAGACAGAUUGUUCUAAAAAAGGAGGGCCUAAAUAUGAUUGGUAGGGUCCUCUUCCCACGUUCCUCUCAAAACCAGAUGUUAUUGCUAACAGAUAAUCAUGUUAGUCCAUCGCUAAACCUGACUUCCUGGCUGGUUGAACCACCUGGUUUGCAGAGGCCUUGUAAGUUUGGCUUCUUUGUGGAUAGGUUUUGCCAACAACUGGGUUGAUGAAUUAGACACCUGGGGAAGGAAAGGAUUGGCACACGGGGAGUAUCUAAAACUUCAGGAUCAGUGUUUUGCUCAUGUAUACUCAAAUGCAAUCAUAAUUUGUGUGGUUGAUCCUGAUUUCUGUAUUGCAGCUGUUUAGCUCAAAAUACCUGGUAUCAUUAGUUCAAUUUGGUAGUAAUUCAGGAAUACAUAGUAAUCACUAUGGAAAUCUAGCUGGUAAAAAGUGGUUGUCGAAACUGCACACUAAGGCUUGGAGUACCAAUUUCGUCUCAAAGUGAAAACUUCAAUUCAUCUAGAAUUGGUUAUUGUACUUGCAGUUAUGAACUUACAAUCAUGCAGUAGAAUCUUUACAUCAGCACAAUCCGAAUCUCCUUUCUCUAUUUCUCUUCCAUAAAUAUGUCACUGUCUUCUAUUUCUUUUUCUCCUCAAUUAUUCCCUGAUUAAAAAGGUGUGGCUUUGAUGCCCCAAGAUAACACUUUCAUACUUCUGUCCAUCAGCGAUUCUAGCUUUUCUUUACCCAAUAAGUGAUUCUGGAUCUGGAAUGAAUAAACUAAAGCUUCCAAUUCUAAGCACUUGGGUGAUGGGAGUCAAGUAUGAUGCUUAACUCUAUAUAAGAACUGAAGAUGCGUGAUUUGCACCUGAAAGCAAUGCUAGAGUUGCCUGCUUUGUUGGUGUCUGAUUGCUGACUACGAAUAUCAGGAGUUAAAUAUGGUGAAUUUCUAAAGCUUCUCUGCUUAUUCUACGACUCUGCCCCAUUCUAGAUAAAGGAUAUUUAAAGGAGUAUGCUCUUUAUUACUUAUUGGUCUUUCUGGCACUGGAAUAGGACUUCCUGCACUUUCAAGAAUCUUUUUUUCAGUGCAUAUGAUAUGUAAAGGAAGCAUGCUUCAGCGAAUGGGAGAAUGGAUUGUGAUCCUUAAAGCGUCUCUGGAUAUAGAAGAGCACUAGUGGAAGUGCCAAGCCAAUUUGGUAUGUCAUAUGCAGCACAUAAUAGGUAUCAAGCUCGAGAGCCACAGAGUUGUUGUCCAGUUGGUGGUGCCAUUUGUUCUUUGGCUGGACCUGCUCCUGAUUGCUUUUUGUUUAGGAAUUGACGUCCACAAGGAAAUACUGGUGUGGGAGGAUAGGAUUUAGAUGCUUGACAUCAUUUUUAAAUGCAAGAUGCACUUUCAUACACCAGAUCAUCAUUCUCAUGAUGCUUGUCUUGGUAUUAAUGUUUAUGUCAUGUUUACUCUUGUAAAGAACUGGUUCAUACAAGGUUUUGUCAUCCACUCAUCCUUUACCGCUUCCUUUCUUUUUUGUCCGUCCCCCAAAAUAAAAUGAAAAAAAUGAGAAAUGCAAAGAGAAUGGAUUAUGUGGAAAUGGAAUAGUUCUUUAUUUAAGUGGAGAUCUAUCUCACAACCUUGACUUUUCUUCUCUCUCUCUCUCUCUCUCUCUCUCUGAAAGAGGAGAUCGAUUUGGUCCUACUUCCCAAAAAUCUAGCCGCUGAUGAGAUUGAUUUAAAUCUUGCUCUCGAGUAACCAAUACUAUUUGACCAUGGAGCCUUUAACCUUUGGAUACAUGGUUGAAAUAAGUUUUAGAGUUUAUAAUACUCCUAAAAUAUGAAUAUUAAGUCCUAAUUCACUGGUAACCAAUUUUGCAACUUCUUACCUACCAUUUGGUUUUCUGAACAUCCUUUUUUAGUUUUUUUUUCCCUUUUUUUGUGGGGCUUUUAAUUGAUAUAUAUCAAUCCUUUCCACAGUGUUGACACUGCAUUAAACGCAGAGUUUGCUUUACAAGUUGGAGAAGGAUGCUAUUGUUCACCAAAUGGCAGAACAGAAAUAGAUACAUAAAGCGCACAAGUAUCAGGAAAGACCUCAAGUCCAGAAGCUGAGCCUCUCUUAGGAUAGUUACAGUGCAUACAAGGUGUCCAGUUUAAAGCCUAUCUUCUAGCUGCAUGACAUCCAUUUAUUCCUUGCUGGGGUAUUAGUUGCUCUUUUUACCUUUUCUUUUUGACGGUGCACCUAAAAAGUGAAAAGUGUAAUGUGCCUUUAGUUUGCUUAAUCAAAAUGGUCCUGAAUUGAAGCUUUGUGUUUCUUUUGGAAAUCAAGUAGUCUAAGAUGAUACUUCCUAGUCCUUUGACGUUGACCAUUCUUGAAAGUCCUUUAUCUUGUUUGAUGGUUGAUAAUUAUCAGCUGGAUCUUUUAAGUUUGGUUGAUUCUUAUAUAUUUCAGUGACAUAUCUAUUAUUUGAGUAGCAAAUAUCUCAAACUAUCUUUUUUGCUGAUUCUGGAAAUUUGCCUUGGUUAGGAUAGGAUUGAUGACAUGGCACUGAGAAACUUUGCAUUGGUGGUUGCUACAUAAAGAAAAAAGUUAUGCCUAUGUUCAGGAAGACCACUAGAGUGAAUAUUUCAAGAAUCAGGAUGACUCAGAGCGAAAAGACUAAAUCUUUCGCAAUCGACAUUAAGGCAUAUUCUGUUUAUUAAGCUUAGAGAGACGAAGUCUCCUUCACCUCUGUAACAGAUAUAUAUUCUUUGUUGGGGGAGGACUCACCUUUUCACUUUUUCUUUGAGUCUAUGCCCAGAAGAAUCAAGUUGCAAUAUGCUUUCUGUAAUCAUCAAAUCCAAUGAAUGGCAGACCAAGGGUGAGGCUAAUAUUUAUUUAUAUACGUCCACUUGCUGUCAAGGUAAUAAUGAACUGCAUCUUCGAAGCAAAUGCAUGAGAUUGAUGAAUGAGACAUAGGAAACAUCCAUUUCCUUUAGAUACUUUUUUUUUUUUUUUUGUAAAAAAGUUUUCUAGGACAUGUUUUAUUCCUUUGUUUGCUUAUGCCUCAAUGAUAGGGAUAGAGACUGUAGUAAGUGAGAAUAUUUCAGAUAAUGUCCAGCAGGUGUUGAUUGUCAAAGUGUUUUUUCUGCUGAUGAUAUGAAUGAAAUGAUAAAUUCUGGUGGCAUUUGGAAAAUUUGAAGAAUAGUUCAAUAACUUUCUUGAAGGUUCAACAAGAUAUGCUAAAAUUUUUUGUUUAAGCAAUGAUUACAUCAUUGAAAUGCAAUGCACUAGUUAAAGAUGUACGGCUCGUGCUCCUACAAUUACUUUUUUUUUUAGUUUUCGUCUCCUCUCUUCUCAAUCAGUUGAAAUUACAAAUAUGACUUUGUCUAAAACACGGUGUUAGUUUUUGGGAAUCAAAUCCUGAUCCCUAAUUGUAAUAUAUGUGAGAAUUGAUAAUUGUUUUCCUUCUGUUAUGAUGUCCUUUGUCUGCUACACAAGUGCAGACAACUACUGCAGUGGAAGAGAAUAAUUGCCAACUACUUGUUGAUUGAAGGCAGUGGGACCACCAAACUAUGAAUGAAUAAGUUUUUCAUUCAAUUAUAUGAAGCUUCAUGGCAGGAAAGAAACUGAAGAAAGCAUAAAGUUGACCUGGACUCGAACAUUGUUAUAACUGAAGUCAUGCAGAGCAUUAAUUCACCUACAGUUUAAAGCGUCUUUUGCAAUUCCAAUUUUUGUGGCUGGACUUGAUUCUAUGUCCUGGUAUACUUUACUACAGUCUAUACUUCUUGUCUUACACAUUAAAGCUUUUUGGUCUGACCCUUUUUGGCUUUAGCUUCAUCUUAACACCCUUUUGUCAUCUCCCUUUUCCUUUAACUUCAGCUCUAAUAAUUUUUUAACUUAAACUUUUUGCAGUUCUUUAAAUGCUCGUAUAUAAAUUCUGACUUUGUUUUAGGUUUAUCUAUGGAUUAAGGAAUUAUUACUGUUGUAAGUAUGCAUGUGAUUUACAACAAUGUACGUGAUAGAGUUAAAAAAGUAUGUGCACAAUUACUGCCAAUACAAAUGUGAUGACCACCCAAAUUCAGUAGUUUAGCGUCUCUAAUAUUUCUGGAAAUAUCUGUCAGACCCUUUGGUGAAAUUGCAAAUGAAGCAUGGGGACAACUAUUCAAUCGAAAAUGAAAAAAACCUGCUUAUGAUCAUAGAAAAACUAAGCACUCAAAAUGUUGACAGAACUAGGGGUUUGGCUUCAAUAGAUGAUUCAAUCAGAUACAAUAGUUCUUACUAGGCCUGAUUGUACACCUAAAUAUCUCUUUGUAGACAUGUUGGAUAAGCAUCAUAUUGUAGUGGUGUAAAAUUUUAUAGAUUCCAACAUAUUUGAAGUAUGCAUUUGAAUUCACAAUUUGUGUUCGAGUGUCUUUACCUGUUCUUUAUGUGCUUACCUGAUAGAGAAAAAGGCAUUGAUGUCCAGAAUGGCAAUGCAGAAAGAGAUACUUAAUUUGUGAUGGAUCUGCAAUGGUCUUAAAGCAAAAAGGUAGAGGCAUGUCUGAUGGUAUAUGUGGUACAUGCCAGGUACCAAGGUCUGGAACCACAAAGUUUUCUACAACCGUAAUUGCUUCAGUUGUCUUUUUCCAGAACUUCCUUUUGUUUCUUUUCUUUAUAUCUUAACAAUCACAAAAGCAUAAAGUUCCCAUGUUAUUCAACAUCUUGAUUUUUGGAAACUAACUCUGCCUGACCAGUGGAUAAUACUCUAGACUAGUCUAUUGUCCUCUGAUGAUCUAUUUAUUUGUUUCAGUUUUUAUGUUCCUCAUCUGUUGAAGACAAGUUGAAUUUGGAUCUACUUCACUAAUUCCCAGACUCUUUGCCAAGCUUUUCAAUUAUCAUGAAUUUCUUGCUGUUGUUGUUUGGUAUCCCUUGCUUUACCAUUUAUGAAUGAAGUGUUACUGGUGGUUUUCACCAGGUGGAGAGGUGCUUGCUGUUUCGCAUUAGUGGAGCAACAAAAAAUGGUUCAUAAUUUCGAGAAAUGAUAGGAUUUAAUUAAGAUUUCUUACUACAAAUAAAGUGUAGUAUAAGUGACAAGCCAAAUAUUUCAAUAUAUGGGUUUGUCACUCAAAACUUAGAUCCUCACUGUUAGAUUACCACAUUAUCUUAUUUCUUUGAUCAGUUUUUUUUGGGUGCUGAAAAUUCUCUUAUCCAGUGAAUGUCGUAAUAGGAUCUAAUUUUUAACGUUACUUCAAACCAUUCAUAGCUUCAAGUAGAGUAGUGAGGAACGAUUACUGAUUAAAUAGGUACAGUUAUCAAGCAGGAUCUUAAAGAUAAAUUGCUGAGCCAUUUUCUAGCUGACAAUCUUGGAAAGUAACAAGGAUAUAAAUUUUGCUACCAAAACAAGCCCACACCUCUCUGAUAGCUUUGUUGAGGUAUGAUGUGAGGUAGAAAGUGCCUGUUUGCUUUUUUUACAAUUAAAUGCCACAAAAGUGUAAAGUGCAAUAUUCUUUUUAAAAGCAUCAUCGGCAUUUUAAGGUGAACCUCAAUUUCAAGGCUACAGACUUAGUUGCCUAUUUGUCUAUAUCAAUGUCUAUGUGAUUUAUAUUGCAAUCAAUUAAGCAUCCAUGCUCUCUGAUGAAUGAGACAUAGGUAGUGCAAAACUUUGAGAUGAUAUUUGCAUUUUUUUUAACCGCUGCAAUACUGGGAACUGGGACAUGGCAAGCAGUGGCUAAUCAACUUUGGAUGCCUCCCCUGCUAGUGUCCAGGAAACAAAAAAAUGGGCGGGGAGAAGGGGGCUUGUUUGGAUGUUCAUUCCACCCAUAUUAUGAGUAAGAGUUCAAUUACUGUUGCCUGAUUAAGCAUAGAAUGCAAUUAGGGGUUUUGGGUUCUAAUUUUCAAGCCAGGAAAUAUCCCACCUACUUUUCCCUUUCAUUUUUAAGACGUGGACCUAAUAUUCUGCUUAUCUUUUGCCUUGGGCCAGUGAGUACUAAAUAGAAUCUGGGACCAACUUGCAGGAAUUGAUGAUAAAGGUGUUAUUUUGGAAGGAAUGAGGUCUAUAGGAAGCUGAUUGUGCUUGCUUUCAUUACUACAUUGCAGCAGACUAAAAAGUUUGUAAGCUUUCUGAGAGCCCAAGGCUUUUAGCUGUAAAGGUUCUUCAUCUGUUUCCUGUGGCUAGACUUGCUCCCGUCGUUAUUGUGAAGCCUUUAUGCUAUGGACACUUAAACUUAUUCUAGUCCGACUCUAGUUUUCCUUAUUUAUGUAUGGCUUUUUGUUUCAGAAUUAAGUGUAACUAAUGUACCUCAUGGGAUAUGUGUUUGCACCAAAAAAGCAUUAGUGCUAAUAAUAAGAGCAUGUAUCAUGGAUUACUCAAAAGCUGUAGGCACUGAGGAAGGCAAUAUCAAAAUUACAAAGCACAUUUCUAUGAUCAGUUAUAACAAGAAAGACACCCUAUUAACCUUGGCUUUAGACAUCUUAAAUACAAUUCUCUUUCUGAAGUGGUUCUGGUUCUCUUCGUUCUGGAUUCAGAAUGAUGGCACGAUGCCAUAACCACUUUCCACCAUUAGUGCUGUCGAAGCAUCUGAUCGACUUCAGCUUCAACAUCCGUUCUUUUUGCAAAUCGACCUUUAAUCCUGGGUCUGGUUUCUGCAUACGCCUUCCUUGAAGCGUACCUGAUCGUCUUCUCAAAUUUUCGGGUCUUCUUCUUCUCUCUGUACCUCAGAACUUUGGCCUCCCUGUCCAUUGGCGUAAGUUGCUGUGGCAUUUGAAUUGGUGGGCUUGCGAAAAGGUCGAUGGUUCCUUUGGGUGGUCUAUGAUGGGAGAUGGAGACAUCACUCAUGGUAGACUCUGGGACUACACCACAAUCCAUGGAUGAGAUUGAAACCUGAGAUAGUAGUCAGAAACACGGCAUUGGUCCCUUUCAAUUGUAAAUAUUGCUGAAGCAAAAUGUUCCUUUAAAAAGGAGUCUUGCUUUUGAGGAAGUCAAUUUAGUACCUUAAUGCUGGCAAAAGGGGUCGGGAACAAAAAUUUGCAAUAACAUUCCUUUGGACCAUAAUCCCAAGUUGUUCAAGCUUCUUGAGCACUGACUAGUUUAGAGAAGUACUGGCUUAAGCUUCUCAAACAAAGCCUGUGCUUGCAAGAAGAGAUUUGAACUGGAAAAUGUUUUUGUGCUCGCUUAUUUUGCAAGAAAAUCCUAUCAUACUGUGUCCAAAAAAAUCUAGGCUAGGAUCAUACCGUAUAGUCCUUGUUUUACUUUUUUUUAUCUUAAAAGUACUUCUUUCUGUGCAUAGAAUUUUAUCCCUUCAUUGAAUUGCCUUUCUACCCAUCAUGCUUUUAUUUAAAAAAAAAAAAAAAAAGACACCCGACGGUAGAAUUGAAUUACCCCUUUUUGGCUUGGGUUUUGAUUACCAGACUCUAAGAGUAGGGCUGACUACUGCGGAGUAAACAACAGAGAAAGAAUUUUUUUCUUCAACCAAUGGAUGUAUAUGUAUCCAAGUUUUAAUUCAUCUAUUGCUCACAUAUUUCUUAUAGCACUUAAAAAGUGGGACAAAAAGAAUACUUUAACCAAGCCUUAAAUAUGGGUCUAAGUGGCAAUUUCAAGUACUCCCUCCUUCUUCCCCAACGACUCCCCGCCACCCCCCCCCCCUUUCUCUCCCACGCAAACAAAAAAGAAGAAGAAGAAGAAGAAUUCAUCAUAUGAAUUGAAGGUUUAAAAUCUUGGAACAAAUUUGCCCAAUUAAUUAUACAGCGGUUAAAUUGCAAGAAUAUAAAAUUUAGCCGGCCCCUAAGGUUAAAGCUGAAGUCUUCGAGUAAACAAAUGAGUAUGUGUUGACUCAGGAGCAAAGUCAAAAAGAGGAAACGGUAUUGCAGAAAACCAAAGUAAAGCCGCAUCGCUUUGAGCAAAACUCUUGUUAAGUUAACGACGGCAUAAUAAUGCAUAAGAAUAAAACUUACGCUGUGACUCAUGGAAGAUACUGGAUAGGCAUACCCAGUAUUUGAUGCUUCAUACUCCAAUCCCAGCUGAAAACUCUGGUGAUGCUGAUGCUGAAGCUGCAGCUGAUCUUUUGCUCCUCCGGAACGAACCGGGACCACGCUGUCUCCUCCGUAACUCUUCUGAAGCACAGCAUAGUGUUGCUGCUGAUUGCUAUACUGAUGAUGGCUAGUGUAUUGAUUUUCUUGGCAUGAACUAUACUCAACUAGGUCCAGAUACUCAUCAACAACCUCGCCACCAAAUAGCAUAUUAUUAUUACUGUUGUUUUGGUGGUGGUGGUGGUGGUGGCUGUUGUUUUUAACGGGAUUAAGUAACAGCCAAGAAGCUGCUUCGUCUUCAUCAUUUUCAUCGAUGGUUUCAUCAACAUCUUGAGUCAAGAAACCAUCAUCAGCAUCUUCUGUAUCUUGCCCGAUCAUGGAUCCCCCGGGAUCAGUAGCCGGGGGUCCAUAAAGGGUUCCCGGAAUCGGCAGAAUGGGGACCCUGUGGUGACGGCGGGCCAAAGGGUUGGCGGAGUGGAUGUCUGAGUCGCAGGCUGCACAGAGGGAUGCUGCAUCAGCCUUACACAAAAACGCUGCAGGAGCACGCUCGCAGGCCUCGCACACCCACACGCGCUCGUGGCGCGAAGCCACCUUGUUGGCUGCGUGUAUGCGAGCGUCGCAGCCGGUGCAGAGGUACGCGGAGUCAGCCCGGCAGUAGACGGUGCAGGCCGCUGAGCGGCAGGUGUCGCACACCGGGCCCAGGUGUUGGCGCCGCCUCCGUUGGUGUCCUCCUGUUUCAGCAUUGCUUUCUAUGCUGUUUGGAGUGAAAAAAAUGGUAAAGAGAGAGAGAGAAUGGUUCUGGUUUGUGUCUGAGACUCUGAGGGGAAGGUAUGGUUGUGGUUCAGCAGGAGCUAAGGAGUGGCAUCGAGAUGAAAUGGGGGCUGAGUUCCGCUGGGGAUGGGGGUGGCGGGUGCGGGUAGCAGCACUGCUCGAUGAAAAGAGGGAAAGGUGUUUGAAGACACUUAACAACAACACACUUGGAGUUGAGGUUGAGGGCAAAGGCAACUGCCAACCAAGUAAAGGUCCUCCCUAAAGGACAAGGAGGGGGAGGGAAUCCGUGGGUGCGACACGUGGCGGGGAGUUAGUGGAUUGGAAAAGUUGUUUUAUUAUCUUGUGGUUGGCUGUGAUUCUGGAGGCCCCUGGGGCUUUUUUUGGGGGGGGUGGGGUUUGGCAUGUGGGGUCUACAGACCUUUGGCUUUUGGAAUCAAUUGGUAUUGUGGGGAGGACCGCCUGGAAGGAAAGGGAUCAAAGGACCGUCCUCCUCUGUUCUGUUCCAAGUGUUUCUUCUUCUCAUCUCUCAGACUUUUUUUUCCAAGCCCAAAGGACUCUCUAUCUGUAUCUGACUCACAGUCACAGGUGGUGUGGACUUUCGGACACUUGGCGCUCCGUAUUUUAUUGUCCACGACACCGCUUUGCUCCCCAGCUUUCACUCAGUCACUACGCCAGCAGUUAUAUCAUAUGGAUAAAUUCACUUGUUUUUUUUUGGGGUUCCUUUUUGCCUUUCUAAAUUUAUUUUUUUACAGCACUUGUUGUCCUUAUAAUUUUUUUUUUAUUCAGUAUCACAAGUGAAAGAUUUUGAACUCAAUAUUUUACAAUUAUACUCCCUCCUUCGAUAUCACUCAAUUCUUUCCUCCCUCUGCCUGCCUACUAAUAUAAUGUAUUGUAACUUAGUAAUAAUUAACAUAAUGGUACAUUCUCUUUUUAUUUUGUAUUCUUAUUGCGACUGCAGUAUUUAAAUUAUGUUUGGAUUGCAUUUUUUUGAAUUUUUUAUCAAAAAAGUGAUUGUAACGAUUUGAUAUAUGUGCGGUAAGAUGACGUGCUGCAAGAAACUCAGCGAGUGCUGCCUGCCUUUGCAUAUCAUCAUACAUGCAGAGGUCAAUUGCGGCUUUGCCACCUCAAUUUACAUUUGCUCCAAGUUCUCGUGACUGGUAUCUAAGACACUACUGCCUUUCUUCCUUUUUUUUUUUCUUUUUUUUUUGUUUCUUUUCCAAGGUGGUAUUGUAACUCAAAUAAGGAUGUCUUACAAGUGCAAUAAAGGCCGAUCGAAUUUACAAGUAAAGAGAUGUUCCAUUAACUCCUCCUCCGUGAAUUUGAUCACGCUGUAACGUGACUGCUAAAGUUCCAUUAACUCACAUGUAUACUGUUUAUCUGAAGUACUACUCUUUUUUUUUUUUUGGGAGGGAGGGAGGGAAAAAGUUAAAUCAAUCAGUAUAUCAAUGAGCGAAAAUGAACUCGAGCGUUGAUCAGCUAAUUAUGAUGACAUUGUGGGGAAAAUUAAGCUCGAUAAUUCUAGCAUCUAAUAGCUCAUUUUCUUCAAGAAUUAAAACAGAACAGAACAGAACAGAACGUGGUGAUAAAUGAACAUUUCGUUCGAAUAAAUUAUACCUAGACAGGUUCCCAUGCGCAGACGAGAGUGGGAGAUUCAAUUCGUUUAAGAAUCGAAUGCAUUUAAAAUUUUUUUCAUAGAUAAAAAAAAUUUUAUUGACCACAUUAAUGGUGAAGAAUAUUUCCGUUGGCGUGAUACAUACGAGCAGUAGCCUCUUUUCACCUUCAUCAAUUCGAAGAACCUGGCUAACAAGAAGGACUGGAGAGCGUGUGCCAGAACUGAAGGCGUAAAAAAAAAUAAUGGACAGCGUGAAUCUCAGAAGAAGUACGAGUUACAACGUGCAAAGGGGGAGAUGCUGUUUCAUUCCACCCCAUACAGCCCGCAAUUGCCAUGCAGUCCACCGUCUUCUGUGCUGAUUACCAAAAAAAACCUAGUACUACUCUACUUUCACGUAAAACGAAGUGUACAUUGGCUUUCCAUUCGUGUUUUUUUUAUUUCACCAAAAAAAAAUAAAGAAAAGAAAAUAAAAGAAAAGCAUGUGGCCAGAAUUGUGUAUAUACUAUAUAUGUCCCAAGUCAAAUUGUGUACGUAUGUAUGUACUGUCGUUGUGCUGAAUUGUUUGUCUGACUUCAUAAUUAGAUAACUUACCAGUACCUUUCAGCGUUACAGUAGCAGUUUCAGGAUUUCGUGAGAGGCUAUUGACUUUGCCUUGGCCCUCCCUCUGGGGUGGUUCACUGGUAGUCAGUGAUUGGUAACAGUACAGUAAUACUUCUCAAUCCUCCCCCAUCACCAUGAACCCCCCCCCUCUCUCGCCCAUGCAUUUCUACUGCAACAUGGUAUAAACAAGGUCCCAAUGUCUGCAUCAUCGGAGAUGAGAUGACACUUGAACUCCCGAGUCAGCAUGGCUGUCUGAAAAUUGCUUGGGCUAUUCGGGAGUGGAUAAAAUGAAUGAUUGGAGGGAUAUGGUAAAAUGUCAGUGUGGUCGUGGCAGCAGUUGAGUCAUGCAACCCAAUUAACUGUAGCUGACUAAGACGAAACCUUCUUCUCUCCCUUUCGAGGCCCACAGGGCAAAACAACCUCCGAGCCAAUGGCACAGCACCACCUUGGACGAGGGCAGAUCAGCGACGCCCUCAACCACAAGUUUUGGCCAAGCAAGUAGCAACAGUGCCAGCGCCUCGGACUUUAGAGUUUAGCCGAGGAGGAGGAGGAGGGCCUUCCAAUUUGUACUCUUCAACUGAUCCGCUUCACAUGGCUUUUGGGUCCGAUGAAAAGUACUCCUACUUGACUACUACUGCUGCUGCAGGUCUACAGCAGCCUGCUGUUACGGCAACUCUUUUACUAGUACAGUACUACUCUUGCGAUCAACAUGGUGAUGCGGGCUUUUUUAUAUUAUUAUUAUUGUUAUUGUUAUUUUUACCAUUAGCCAGUUUUAAACCCUUUCACAAGGGCCUCUAUCAGCCUUGUAACCAUCAAAAUCACAACUAAAACACUACACAUUUCUAUAGUGAUGAUAUACGUUUAGUGUGACUGUGUUCUGGGUCAAAGUCGCUCUGAUUGCAAAUUAAAUGACAGAAGCUCCUCCUCAUUCUCCCUGCCUUUGUUUGGUUGAAAGCUCGACUAACAUCCUUUGCCCGAUCUGCAUCCCCUUUUAAAGGCUCCUAAAAGCUAGUUAACCCCAUGCCCCCCCCCCUCUCAUCCCCAAAAAAAAAAAAUAUAUAUAUAUAUACUCCCUCCGUCCCAUUGUUAAUGUCAUGUUUUACCUUUUUCAUUGUCCCAAAAUUAGAGUCACGCUACACUAUUUUCCUUUUAAUGUUCCGUCCUUGCCCUCAUAGUGCAUGUGAUAGAAAAUCCAAAUAAAUUUGAUGGGACCUGCUAUUUAUUAUCCAUUUGGAGAAGCCAGAGGAGUACGUGAGACUAACUCUCACUUUAUAAGGCCAAUAAUAGCGCGUGUCUCUAACAUACAAAGGGAUGCUUUUGGUUAAGAUGGGACCCACGAAAUCAUUACUCCAUGAAAAACACAAAGUGCAGCUGACCAUUGUACUUGCGACGGGGUAAAUUUGGAACAAAGGCUUGGCUGUCAAUAAUGAUACCACUGUACAUAAAAAGUUGCAUUCCCCGUAAACGUCUCUAAUAAUUGGACGGAGGGAGUAUAUAUUUUUUACGCUAUCCUUUGAAGAAUAGGUGGAGUUCAAGCCUUAAAGAUUUGGGAACCCGUAUGGCCUAUGGACCAGCAUUUGCUAUCCGUAAAAAAAUGGGCUGAACCAAAGGUCGCCUGAAAUGAGACAAGUGCCCCGAGCAAACUCCGAUGGUUGAGUUGAUGCGUUUAAUAAAAUUGAAAUAUAAAAAAUGAAAUCUGAAAUCUGAAUCUAUUAAAUUGUUAAAUUAUUAAGUAUUAAAUUUAAUACAUUUGAUUGUAUAUCAUAUUCAGUGAUAAGUGAAUAGUUUGUCACUUAAUUUUAGGAGCAAAUUUUGCUUAGAAAAUUCAGUGUCACUUAAUUAAUUCAGAUAUUCAAUUUUUGAUAAAUCAAACGGUCUGAAUAUGUUAAGAUUCCAAUCCAUUAAAUUUAAGUGUUGAAUUGAAUUAUCAAAUGAGACCUUAGUAAUGAUACUUAAAGAGAUACUCUUCCAAAUUUCAUUAGUUUGCUCAAGUUAAUUAAUGAAUGAAUAGGAGGCAAACUCCCAUUUAAAAGGAACUAAAAUGGGCCUUAAAGGUCUCUUGUUGCGCCAUUUAACUUGGAUUUUAUCAUGGGCCAAAGCGAAAAUUGGGACAUCUGUAUCCCUUUUUUUUUUUUUUUUUUUAUCAACACAGGGGUGUCUGGGUCAAUCUUUACGGGGCCCGACUAAUCUCCUGCGGCCCGGAGAGAGGCCCCACUCCACACCGAGCACGUUAACAACGAGACUCGAAUUCUAGACAAGUCAGGAAGAUCGCCAUACCCUAAGGAGGGGAGCGGACGCUCGAGCUAUUCCGUGGGGCAAAAAACCAACCACGUAAAGUGGCAAGUUUGUGGGAGGCAGGGGUUAAACCCCUGACCUCCAGUAUCACCAAAGAUGGUGAUAACACUGGACCAAAUGGCCAGUGGCCAUCUGUAUCCAGUUUGCAUCAAAAAAAAAAAAAAAAAAGGUUUCGAAAUCUUAAAUUCCGGCAGCCGUGAUUGCUACUUGGUGGAUUUUAAGAAUCGUAUUUGACAAAAUUAGGCGUGUACCCGCAGGCCAAUUGAUCACCAUAGCAGCAAAACAUUUUCAAUCAGCAAGACUUCACUUACACAACAUUCUCAACUUUCAACCACUAACCACCAUUAUUCAUUCAUUCUUCCAAAAUGCCCCACAUUUCUAAGUUCUAACCCCCUUUGGUGUCUCGCGUUCCAAGUCACAUAGCGCCUAGGAACAAUAUAAUAAGGGCAAAAAACCUCAGCGGCCAUUAAACUAUUGGAGAGAUCAUGUUUUGGCCAUCAAACUAUUUUUUGUCAAUAAUUGGCCACUAAACAAUUUAAUCCGUAAAUCCGUGACCAUUUCAUCAUUAAUUACUCUUAAGUUCUGAAAUUAGCAUUACACGUGGCAAUGUUCGGGGCAAUUUUGUCCAGCAAUUUACUGCAAUUUUGUCCGGACUUACAAUCAAAACAAAAUGAUUGGUCCCUGCUACUAGUUUGGAGCCUAUCUUGUUUGUCCUAAAUCCACAUUUAAAAUUGUACUCCAGUACCAAUUAGUAGUAGUACUUGAUUAAUUAGGAGGCCUAGCCCGGGUGGAUACGCGAUCUCAAGUCUCUAGUCUCUACUACUGUCCACGGUGUCUAGGAUCCAUGGCGCCCAUCGGAAGUGGGGUUGCGGUUGCACCGGCUUCCUGCUUUUGGCCUUAUACAGAUAUCUACGGUCACCAGAAAAUGUCCUCCAAUUACCUGAGGAGAAGAAUAUGUAACAGAAGAAGAAGCACAACGAGAUCAUUACCGCGAUACUCCAACGGGUCUAAAGCGGGUGCUUCAUCGCUGAGCUGCAGGCAACCGGCUGUCUCAGCUGAACCACCACCACACCACCAGGACAAAGUUCGGUACUCCUCCCUCACGUCAGCAAUGGCAACAGGCGGCAGCCCCAUCUCUCUACUACUACCAAACAAGAAGCAGGAGGGGUUGUGAUGAGUCCUGGUUUAAUAGACUACUUUCGAGUAUCGGAGGAUUUGGUCCUCCGAUCCGAGGCUGACGGUGGGCCUGCUCUUCCUCUCACUCUGCCUUUUCUUCAAAAAACCACAAUCCUCUCUUGCUUUACUUACCAGACCAGCAGCCACUACCUAAUAGGAUUAGUAAAUUGCUGGACAAAAUUGCCCCCGAACAUUGCCACGUUGUAAUACUAAUUUCAGAAUUUAAGAGCAAUUAAUGACGAAAUGGUCACGGAUUUACGGAUUAAAUUGUUUAAUGACCAAUUAUUGACAAAAAAUAGUUCGAUGGCCAAAAUAUGAUCUCGCCAAUAGUUUAAUGGCCGCUGAGGUUUUUUGCCCAUAUAAUAAUAAAACAUAAUAACUAUACACAAAUCAACCAUUAUUCAUUGGCAAAAACUUUGAUCAACCACUUAGAAAUAGACCCUGUGGACAUAAGUAAGUCAUGUCUCCCCCACUUUUGCUUUAUAAUAUUCAGCAAAGAAGCAACGUGGCGAUGUUUGUGGCCAAAUGGUCCGCUACCUUGUUGGUGAAUCAGGUCUAUCCAAAUAUUUGCCUUAAGCAGCUAUUGUUAACACAAUCUGAACUUGCUAUGAACAGCGCACGCGCAGGUCCAUAUAACAUAAUAAUAGGGCUAUCUACUGGACCUGGCUCGCCAAGCUCCGUCCAGCUGACCCUUAAAAUACGUUGGUCCAGCCAAAGCAUGAAGAUGGGCUUCGAUGAACAGAAUUCCACCGCUCAUGCAAGCCUAGCAUUGGCCAGUAGGGGGCCUGGAACACAGGGGCUAGGCCCAAGCAAUCCCAAAUUGAUCGUGGGACCAAUACGAGUGGGUCAUACCCAUUCUAAUACUGCCCAAAAAUCCAUAAAUUCCCAUUUUUUACCUUUUUUUUUUUUUGAAUCCCAAUUUUAGCUAGAACCAAGAUUCGAAGUUCAAUCCCAAACCACUGAAUCCGAACAAAAAUCAGUCUACAGCAUUAAUGAUUGGUCCAUUUAAUGUUACUUGAACUUUUCAGUUUGCCCUUCCAUACCCAUAUGUUUUGGACUAGGAUACCCCAUCCAUGGGGCUCGACUCGAGUCCAAGUUACAUAGGGUGCAAGCGUACGGACCCCUCACCCAUGGGCUACAAUGUUGCGCCACCACCAUCUGACAUCAGCGAUGCAGCAGCUGCAGCAGCAGUAGGAACAACCCCAGUCGAGAUGCCCGGUUUUGACAAAUGCAGUAGCCUGAGAACACACAAGAUUUCAGACGAUAUUUUGGAUCAGCUAGAAAGUCAAAUUUCUCACAUCAAGAACUAAGGAAAUCAUCAAGUUGCAGAAAGUCCAUUGCAAUGCAUAAGAAGUUGGUAAUUAGUGGUAUCUAUAUUUUCAGAUAAGCCCAAUUCCAAGAUUCCUUUACAAAUCCAACCAAACGAUUCGGUCCUACAAUUCUUGGUAAAUUACUAGAUUGGUUCCACAACUAGGAUACACUGCGCUACAGAGACUGAUCCUACAAGAAGAAACUGUUGUAUCCAAGUCCUUGUCAAGCACUUUUGUUUUCAAGCUACUAAACAUGACAAAUGGAGAAAGGUUUCUCCACUUAAAGAUGGUAGAGAGACAAGAGAAACAAAUUAAGAACUGCCUCCUAUUUCAUGCGAGCAGAAUUAUAAGACUUAAUCUGCAUGCAUUCAUCUUUGUAUCUGCAUCGAUCCUUUUCACCUAGUAUUGCAGCCACUUGCUAGUAUCUACAAGAACUUUUUGCUAUAUCUUUUCAACUUUUUACCUCCUUAUAGGGCUGCUGGCUGAUAUUGUCUACGUAAUCUAGUGGGGUAAAAAGUGCGAAUUUCAAUAUAUCCUUUUUUGUUUGUUUGUUGGUUUUUUUUUGCGGGGGGGGGGGGGGGGGGGGAAGCAAGAAGAAGCACUUACGGUGCAAGAUACUCGCAAAAAGAUGAUACGGCAGCAACAACUUCAGAAUAAUUUUCAGAUGAAGCAGGCUGUCACUUCAACCAGUUGUAUCUGGAGUUACAGGAACAGCCUCAUCAGUGAAUGCAGUUUCAGCAUUUUAUUGAUUGAAGACCACAGUUACAGUUAUCUGAGCUCCUCUCUGGAAAUGGAAGGCAAAUCCUACUCUCAGCAGUUCAUGUCCAACCUGUAGCCAAGUGCGUAAAAUAAGCGUAGUGCAUCCUUGCUUAUUUUGCUUUCUACGGUGUUCUGACCAGCACCGAAAUUUGCUCAGCACCAGCACUCUCAUUGCACCAACUUGCCGAACCGUCCUAAGAUUUUAGUUUUCAUACAAAUUGGUAAUCUAUUUCAGGAAUUACAACUUGUUUUCAACAAAAUCCUUUUUACCAAGUUGGUUCAGACUGCUCCAGAUCACACAAAGUCGAACCUCUGAAAACUAAACCUGCAAGCAAAAGCAUGAAACCUUGUUUAUUAAGCAGAAAUCUACAUGCAAGAAGGGGGAAAAAAAAGAAGAAAACUAGCUUUUAGGGAAGACAUGCCAUUUCAGAAGUAUGCCAAUGUUCUCAGAGAACUGACAUUACAAACCCUUGACAACCAGAAACUGAUCAAAACAUAAGAUCCUCCAGAAGUGAAGACGCAUAACCAAUGCACAAAGAAAUUUAACAAAAUAUGGAACUAUGAGGUACAUCCAUCCAAAUCUGCGGCAAAACAAAGAACACCUUGCAAAAUGUGAUCCCCGAUGCGAUUGAGUCUGUGACCAUAAUAUAAAUAGCCAAUUGACAGGCAGUUAAAAGAAACAGCACUGAGAAUGUUAUUGAUUCCUGUGAGGAAACUAGGCAUACGCAAACAAGGAUGCCAAUGUGUAAGUUUCACUUGACUAAUCUUUGUAGGAAACUCAUACAAGAAAAUCCAUUUACCUAGAUUUGGACAAUUUUUAGGCACAACUCGUGGAUCCUUAGCGCGCUCCCUGUGAACACCACAAAGUCCUUGAAGAAGAAUCUCCAGGGCCUCAACAUGCUGGGCGGGAAAAAGUGUAAGUGCAUACUUCAGUAAGGGUGAGCAAACAGUAUAUUAGGGAAUUUUUCUACAAAAAUAUCGGAAAAGUAAAUAGCAAUCCAAAAAAAAAGAUAAUGAUUGUCUGCAACAUGUUACAUGCACCCAGAGUGAGAACUUUCAUCUCCACAAAGUAUGACAAGCGAAGGAGGUUACAGUAGCCAUUGACACCGCCUGAGCCUGACAUGGCAGGCACAUGACAUCUAAAGCAUUUUUGAGUCAUAAAUAUAGUGUAAAUAAAUAGAAAUUGGGAAGAUUAGCUAGGUAUACAAUUUAUGUUAAUAUCUUCACAUAAAUAUAUAUUUUAUAUGUAGAAUGAACAAUUUGAGUCAUUGAACAAUACAUUGCUGCGAUCGAAGAAGCUGCAUAAGCUAGUUAAAACAACCUGUUUUAUAUACGUAGAUCACUAGCACUGCGUUUUUGCAGUGAUAAUUGGAAGUCCAUCUUUCAGCCCUUCGGGUGAUUUGAAAGUCACGUUAAAAAAAGAGCAGCACAGCUGCCAAAGUUAUACCCUUAACUUACCAAGAAAGAAAAAUACACUAUUCUGGUAAAUUAAAGUCAAUUUCCAUUAAUGGCCCCCAAAGAUACAAGCUUUGGAUAUAGCGAUCCCUUCCCUUAAAGACACUGAAGAGGAAAAGCAUUGCAUUGCAUUCUCCAUCCUUUCCCUCUUUCCUCAAAUCCUCAUAUUAUUCCACAAGUACGUUUGUCUGAUUAUUUUCAGUGAACCAAAUCAAAAUUCGUCAUUCAUCCUAAACCCCACUUAAUUACUACAUAGAUUGCGCUGCAACCGACCAAAAUCACAAUUAAAGUCAACUACUUGAUUAGUCUAAAACUCUAAAUGAGCUCCCAGGUAAAAAACGUCAAAGGUUUAAUUUGAAUUAAGAUAGUAUUAGGCGUAAUAUAAGAAGGGAGAUAAGAAACUAGUAGAGCUUACUUGGGUCUCGAUAAUUCCCUGAACCACGCACUCCAUUGUUUCUCUGCACAGUCACGACGGAGACCGGGGUGGGAGGGAGGGAGGGAGGGAGAGGAACUGGAUUGAGUAACAGGAGUCGGUCCAGAAUCCGGGUACUCGAAUAAAUUUCCACAACAAAACAAGAAAAGAGAAACUUUUAUUUGGGGAACGGAACUUACUAAAGACAUGCUAACCAAUGGCUUUUGGGACUGUUGGCCAUACAAAUAUGUGAAAAGUAAAGGUUUAACCCUAAUCCCCUAACCACUGAGCCAGGGGUGGGAGGCAAGGGUUCGAACCUUGCCUCCUAUAAAAAAUACCAUAUUUUAGUGACUUGUCUUAAAAAAAAAAAAA